rnacentral:lncRNA from 1 species
GUGUUGAGGGUGUGUAGUUCAAAGUGAUUCAAGAAUGCUCACCAAAAAAUGUUUAGUUAACGGAGGAACUUACUCUAUAUUAAAAUGAGAAAAUUGAUAUGAUUAUGGGUAAAUUAGUCAUUUAACUUAAUAAAUGUACUAAAAAAUGGAGUGUUACGGUCUUUUGACACUUAUUAAUAGGGAAUGUCUUGCAAUAUUAUGGAAUGAAGAGAGUAAUUUAUAAAAAAUUGAACAUGUGACUCUGGUUAUCGAUAUUCUAUUUGUAAUGGUAACUUAUGAUUGUGAAUUGAUGCAUGCUUAUUUAUAUGAUGUUUCAGUGUUUAGCUAGUUUCUUGUAAUUUUUUUAGUGUUGACAAUUAUUGAACUUUUUUCAGCAUGAGAAUUGAAAACAACUAUCUUCAUGGAGGCCGUCGGUAUUUGAAACUUAGUUUUCCUUCGGAGGAUGAAUUGGAGAAGUAUAGAUAUUUUUUGAUCAACCAUGGAACGCGUGACCCGAUUCCUCGUGGAAUAUUUUUUCACCAGUCCGAUAAUGCAAGCUGCCCAUAUUAUUCUCUGUUGGAACCGAAUUGGACUCCCCUCAAAGAUUGGAUACAAUCUCUUGAUCGCAAUACCUUUUGGACUAAAAAGACUCGAAUAUCAAAUUUCCUUCAGCAUUCAAUUCCAUUGCCCCAUUACUUCAGCAUCAAAGUUCGCGCGGUUUUGGGGGAUGUAAUACACGGUCUCAUAAAGUCCCACGCGGGAGGACUUUACAGCGGCUUACUUACUCUUCCAAACAUCCAAAAUGGGGAAACUGGGAUCUUUGUCUCAAGUGAUGGCAACGCAGCUAUCAUAGUGUGCUACAAACGAAUCAGAGAAAGGUUACCUGCUUGGGGCAUUCAACCCACUCCAUCUACUAUUUUGUUGGAUCUUAUUGAUGAAUGUUCUAAGAUAAAAGAGGAUUUGUUGGGGUUUGCGGAGUUGGUUGAUCAUUUGGUUCAACAAUUCAAGGAUGUCACCAUUGACAUUCCCAUGGAGAUUGUUAUGUUUGAAGAACUCUAUAAGUAUAUCCCAAACUUCACAACUUUGCAUCACAUUAAGAUGUUUGAGACUUACAUUCAGCAUGCACCACUAUUCUGGUCCAAGUCUAAACUGUCCAAAUUCUGCAAUUUUAUGUUUGUCGUACACCGCAAAAAAUUUAGGAAUCCUGUUGAUUAUUCUAGAUUGGUCAAUUGGCAAAGUGCGAUAGUGCUUAGAGGACAGACAGAUCGUCUCUACGCUAUAUUUCAUCACAACAUUGGUUCUGUAACAUCAUAUAAUACGGAUGCUGAGAUGAUAAUAGUAUUCAUAAGAAAUGUUAUGCAACAUUUAUGCCACAGUAGUGUAAGUUUACUUUUGUACAUUAUUAUUUUCAUUAUUUUCAUAUUUUGUAUUUACUUGUUUAUUAUUUAAUUAAAUUGCAUGUUUUUUGCUUGUAGACCUACUCAUUUGGCCACCAAGAAGCUAUUGAAGUCAUACACGAGCAGUAUCUAGACUGGCUUCCGAUACUAUAUACUUCUUUGGUCGGGGGUCUCGGGCCUAGUUUUGUACAUUCAAUCAAACGACCUUUUCGUACUUUUCAAGAGUUAUUCGAGGAAGAGUUUGAUAUAUAGAUGCAGGUACAUCUAAGGUCCUUAAGACUCUUUAGUUAUCAGUCAGACAAAUACUCCACGUGGAAUGUGUAUGUUGUAGUGCAAAUGUGAAUCACUGCAUUUGUACGUUGUACCUUAGUUGUAAGUAGAUGUUAUACUUGUGGCUGUAUUUUGCGAAUAAAUCUAAGCAAUAUACUUAUACACUCCCUCCGUAUCACAAAAGAUGUCUAGAAUAGAAAAGAUAUUUGUUCCCGAAAGAUGUAUAAAGUACACAAUUACUAUUUUACCCUUAGGGUCUGUUUGGGAACCUUGAUUCGAUGGCUUGGAAUUGGAAUUGGGACUCCCAAAACCAAUUCCAUUGUUCUGAUUAGACUUGGCAAACGGGCGGGCCGGACAAAAAUGGUCCUGGUUUUGAUGGGCUGAAAUUUUGUGGUCCGGGUUGGGCCGGCCCGACCCGGCCCGCAGGCUUCUUUUUUUAAUUUUUUUAUUUUUUUUGCAAAAGAAAUAGUAAUAAUAAUAAAUAUUAAAAAUAAUAAAAUAAUUAAUAAUAAACAAUAAUAUAAACAGACGCGGUUAAUUAAUUACCUACAUUAACUACAUAUCUCAAUCAAUUAUCUACAUUAACUACUUGUCUUCGUGGAUUUCGAGUUUUCCCAUUAUCUUGGGUUGUUCCAAUAGAAAUGUGGCUUGGGUGAAAAAAGAAACAUUAAUCUCUAUACUGCUUGGGAAUGAUUAUUCAAGCACCACAUCUGAUGUUGAUUUCUUAGUAACUGGUAUGCCUUACCAGGAGUAUACAACAGUUGUACACAGGGAAUACUACUAGCUAGCUAUUAUUCUAUUAGAUUAAAAAUUGAGGUUCUGUAUAGAUCAGGUCCUGUCCCCUUUGGUUCUAGUAUUUCACAAACUCUCUCUCUAUACCUCCCUCGUCUAUUGUUUCAUACUGAUGCGAUCCGAGAUCUUAGUCCUUUAUUACUUGAGAAUCAGGAGAACUAUUUGUAUGUUAUGGUGACCCUGGUAAAAGAAAAUCAAAGUUCCUUGUUGGGGCUUUCUUUGCUUUCUAAUUUUGUUCUUAUAUGGAUGGAUACCGUAGAUGAGAUGUAUGUAGUUAAAUAUAUUGGUAUAUGUAUAUAUUUAUAUAUUAGAUGUGAAGCAGUAGUAUGAGAUAAUUCGUACACAUAAUAAAUUGAGGAUUUUGCAAUAAUAAAGCAAAAGGUGACUUGAAAUAUAAUGCAACACAAGUUAGAACUCCACUUGGUAAUAAUAUGUUAUCCAGAUUAGGUUUAAAUAAUUUGGUUUUUUCUUCUUACCACAAACAAAAGAAAAAAAAAAGAAAAUGUAAUACUGUUGCUAUUAUUUACUACGUGUAGAAAGGAAAACGCGAUAAUUAGAUUUAAAAAAUAAAAUAAAAAUACUAGUCUCUCAGACUUAACUUUGACCACAGGUGGCCCAAAAAAUUAGGACUCCCCUAAGCUUACCAAUAAAUUGUCCCCAACGGUCAUGGACUUUUAAACAAACUUUCCCCACUAUAAUCACUACUCUCUCAUCUCUGUUUUUAAAACAUAAUAAAUUUUACUCCCUCCGUGCCAUGAUAAAAAUCUUUAUUACUAUUUUAAGUAGUCCCAUGUUAAAUGUUCACUUUCCUUUAAUAACUAAAUUUUUACACAUUUUUUCCUAUUAUACAUUAAAUAUUUCAUACUUUUCUUAUUCUAAUUCUCUCUCCUAUUUAAUAAGUAUGGAGAGAGAAUAUUUUGAAUUGAAUAGCUAGAAAGUCACUCUCUCACCUACAUUGAAAAUAAUUAAUAACAUAUUAUUAUGGGUAAUUUUGUCAUUUCAUUCCUCUUCUUAAUAUGCGUGAAAAGUCCACCAGGACUUUUAUCCUGGGACGGAGGGAGUAUAAGAUAUUGAACUCUUAUUUAUUUACUUACAAGUCUUGUGUUCAAGCCUCAUAACCCAUAAGUAGUAACAUUUUGCUUUUAAAAAAAAUAAGUCGCGGGCCACGAGUCGGGCCGGGCCAAAUACAGGUCAAGCCAAAAUGGCCCGCAUUUUUCUGGGCUAAAAUAUUGCGCCCAUGGCCCAUGUUUCUACGGGCGGGGCGGGCCUGGGCCUAAAUUACCAGGUCUAGUUCUGAUGGUGAAUAUGGGUUUAGAAUUGAGAUUGAUUUAGAAGUCCAAAUUUGUAAAUAGCAUAAAUCCAAUGGGCAAAGGUGCAAAAAUGCCCCUGAUAUUUACACGGAUGUCCCACUUCCACCCUAAACUAUUUUUCUUUCCAAAAGUACCCUUAACGUUUCAAAGAGUAGACCACCCAUGCCCUUGCUGUCAACAGACCUGCCACCUGGACUAACGUUGUUUACACGUUGAUCAUUUUUGCUGAUUUGGCACUCAGUUAGAGAGAGACAGAACGGAAUAAGUCGUGAUUUUCAAAAGGGGCAAAAAAGCCCUAAUCACUUUCACUCUACAGACAGACGAAAUCGAAAAGGAGAAGAAGACGGGAGAAGCUUGAAGACCAGUUUGGCGAGAAGAAGGUGGAGCCCAGUUCUGCAAGAAGAAAAUCGUCAUGGCUAACUAUUCGUCGUCAUCUUCAUCAUCUGCUCGAAGACAUGCCAUUGAUGUUGAUUAUGAAGCUAUGCCACUGUGUUAUUGUGGGUUAAGGGCUCCUCUGUGGACCUCAUAGAGUGAAACAAAUCCUGGUAGGAGGUUUUUCUCAUGCUCGAAAUUCAGAGUAAGUUCUUAUAAAUUUACUUUGAUUUUGUGUUUGAAACAAUUCCUAGCAGCUAGUAUGCUUGGAAAUAUUAUACUAAUAACAGUUGAAUAAUGCUUAAUAUUUUGGAUUCAGGAAAGGGGAUGCGGGUUCUUUGUAUGGCAUGACCCACAGAUGUGUGAGAGGGCAAAAGUUGUCAUAAAUGAUCUGAAGAGGGAUAACAAAAUUUUAUUGAAUAAGGAACUGAAUAAAUGUUCCCAGGUUGAAAUGGCAUCUGAAUGGCCAUCUGAAUUAUCUGAAUUGAAAGAAUUGGUUCAUGAGUUGAAGAAGUUGAAGUCAAAUGGAGAUGAAGUUUCUGUGAAACAAAUUAAAGAAGUAGACUAUUUGAACAUGAAGUGCAUUGGUGUGUUAUUGUUAGUUAUAUUCAUCUGCAUUUCUGUAAUGCUACUUAGUUAGAUAAAUGGUUAAAUGAAUUAGUAGUGUUGUGAAUUGUAAUGUACUGCAGUUGAAAUAUGCAGUUAACUUAAUGUAAUUGGUGAAAAUGGUUAAUGGAAGUCAGUGUUUUGUAAGCAAUCCUUGUUUGAGUAGUUGUUUAGUGAGUUAUGCAAGUUUAAUAUGUGUUUUGAGGAUGCUUUGUGACUUGUAAUUUUUAUUUUACCUGAAUGUCAAAGAAUUGAUCCAUGAACUUGGUUAAUGGAAGUCUUAUUUGUGUGUAUAAUUGUGUGACAUAUGAUUAGUGCCAAUGAGUUGAGCACUUGUUACUCAAUGUAAUUUUAUUAACUUAAUCUGAUUGUCAAUGAGUUGAGCAAGUUUAGAAUAAUGAACAAAAUAAUGAACAAAAAGGCUGUGCCAAAUUAUAUUGCCAACAUAUAGGCUUGAGAAGCAUGUUCAUUACAUUUCUGCAAACUGAGCAUAAACACUUCAAUAUUGUCCAAACUAUACUCCCAAAAUGAAAAGCUCAGUUACUCCCAAAAUGAAAAGUUCAGUUCCAAAACCAUAACUGAAAGAAGUACAAUUACUAAGUAGGCUCUAAUUACAUAAUCACUUAGAAGUUUAGUUUUCUGCACUACAAUUGGGUGGAAUUCCUUGUGACUUGCUUGCAUUGCUGCUCAUACCAAUCCUUUCAUCCUUAUCUGCCAACAGGCGUGUGGUAGUGAUGCAGCUUCGACCCAUCCAUUGCAGUCCUUGAGGUCUGUAGGUCAUGUUGGACAUGUUUACAGGGUCACCAUCACUUCUAUGGUUUAUUUUUCUAUUGCCAAUUGCAGAGGAUGCUUUGUUUUUCGCUUUGUCUACUCUUAGUUGAGCUUCAUUAUGGAUUGAAAAUUUGGUGUUGGGGUGAACCAAAGGUGACUGUGUCUGACUGCCUUCAUUGACAACAGUUGAUGAUGUGCCACUCUGCAUGUACAUAGACUACAUUAAGACUGAGCUAAGAAGCUUACACAUGAAUGUCAUAACUGAAGCAUGUAAUUUUGUUGUUAAAAAGCUUACCUUGAAUGUCAUUGAACCAGUUUUGUCAUCAUAUAACAACCCAAAACCUUCACCAUGGUUGGAUUGCUUCCUAGCAUGAGCUCUUACAGCAGAUCAAACUUGUAAUUUUGACUGCCUUGGUCUUGAAGUAGGAGGUGCAGUCAUGGUUGAACUUGUAUUAAGCCCUACAAAAUGCAAAAGUAUCAAAUAUUUGCCCAGGCAACAUGUGCAACUACUAGCAGUAUCACAAAAUGCAACUCACAGUCACAGCUCAUACAAACUGUUUAAACUCUUUGAUAGAAACUCUUUAAAAUACAUGUUUCAGCUUGGCUUGGAGUUGAGAUUGAUGUGCCACCUUGUGCUUGAGUUUGCACUGAAGAUUCAGUUUGGGAUUGAGGUGGGACUGAACUACCAGUUUGUGAUUGGCUUGCAUUGCUAGGCUUACAUUUCCUUUUCCUUACAUUUCUUUCUCCUAGGCUUUGAUUCUGAUUUAAGGCAAAGUGUCAAUAUAUAUACACUAUAUUGUAAAACACAUAAUUAAAUAAUUGAAUUACCUUUGAACAGCUACCUUUGUUGUGUCCUGGUUACUUACAUAGACUGCAUGUGAUGACUUUGCCUUUUUUGGAUAGCUUUAUGACUUUGUUUGUAGGUCUGGACUCAGUUUCCUCUCUUUUUCUCUUAAUCUUAGGCCUUCCCCUGUUUUUCUCAACCUUUGGUGCCUCGAUAGGUUGAUAUUUGUCCAUUUCAUUGAAUCUUUUCCCUCUCACUGGCAUAAUUUUGUACUGAUAAGCAGUUUGGUAUACAUCUUUAUGAUACAUCUUUGAAAUAUGAUUCAUAGGGUCCUGUUUGUUGUGGACUAGAGCACAUAUAGCAUGUUGGCAAGGGAUUCCAGUGAGAUCCCAUGCCCUACAUGUACAAGAAUUCUUGUCCAAAAACACAGUGUGUGUGUCCUCACCCUCCCUAAUUUCAUAACCAGUGUCUCCAUUAAAGAGAACAGUGCAUCCAACUGCUAUGCUUCUAUUUGUCUGAAAAAUGUCAUUGCAGUAAGGGCUAAAACAAUUUAUCCACUUCUCACAUGCUGACCCAAGAGUUCCCAACCUGUCCAUGGUUUUUGCCUAAUAUAUUCCAUCAUAGUCCUAAUGGGCUUUUGCCUAGCUUCAAGAAUUCAAGAAUUGAAACUUUCUACCAUGUUGUUAUCUACUGCCCAGGAUUUACUUCUGCUACUAAAGUAAGCUCUGCACCAUGUAUGAGGUGGAUAAUUCAUGAGAUCAAUUGCUCCCUUUGAACUCAUGUCCCCAAGCAACUUCAUGUUGUCCUUAAAUUCUUCCUCAAAGGUAGACCAUGCUGCAUUCCAAAAUCUCUUCUUCAACUCUCCACCUCUGUGUUUCUUACACCAAUUUGUAUAUAUAUGACGAGCACACCACCUGUGUUCAGCCUCAGGGAGUACCUCAAUAACAGCCUGUAUUAAACCCUACAAGCAAAAGUUGCACAAAGUUACAAAUAAUAUGACAUAAAAAACAUUAACUAUUAAAAUUCCAAAACAUUCAUACCUUUUGCAUAUCAGAUAUAAUGGUGUACUGACUGCCAUCUCCCAAACCAAGUUGUUCUUGCAACAAAGUCAGAAACCAGGUCCAGUUGACCUUAGUUUCACUCUUCACACAUGCCCAAGCUAUGGGAAAAUUCUGCUCAUCCCCAUCUCUUCCUAGUGCAACAAGCAAUUCCCCCUUAUACCGUGUCUUCAAAAAACACCCAUCAAGGCCAAUGAUAGGCCUACAUCCUUCCUUUCAACCUCUCUAGCAAGUAUCUAAACAAACAAACAUUCUUCUAAAUACUCUUCUCCCUUCCCUUGAUUCAUCUGUGGACAACUCCACUUGUGCUUUAGACCCUGGAUUACUCCUCACCAGUUCAGCUGCAUAAGUCUCUAACUCAGAAUACUCAGUAGUAAAGCUCCCUGAGAAUUCAUCCAUAACCAUCCUCCUGGCUCUCUUGCACUUGGAAAAUCCAACAUUCACUCUCCAUUCUUUCUCCACAUCUUUUUUGAGGUCUUUAAUCUUGUAGUUAUUUUGCUCAAGUAUUUUUUGUUUGUAGAGCUUGGCCAAGAACUUUGCUGAAACCCUAGGGUUGCUGAAAAUCCUAUAACAACUGUGCAAUUCAUUUAAUGUCUUGACAGCUAACCCAGGGUUACAACCGUCUUUUGAAACAUACAAGACAAAAGGACACCCAGCCUCACAUUGGACCCUUAUUCUAUAUGGUUCACUUUUCACAUAUUUCAAUGCCACUCCCCUAGAUAUAGCAUACUUUGAUAUCGAUUCCCUAACUUCAGCUGCACUAAAAAAUGUCAUUCCCAAGCUGAAAUAGGGUGUCUGGUCAUUUACAUUGAAAUGGAUAGGAUGUCUUCUCUCACAUGGAACCUGACCCUCAUUCCCUUCUUUAGUAUCAUCAGUGUCAUCACUAUCAUCUUCUUCAUCAGUACCAUCAUCUUCCUCACUAUCUUCACUCUCCUCUAUAUAUGUAGCAUCUUGACUGUCCUCACUACUAUCUUCCUCACCAACCCUGCUACCUUGUGUGUUUAAUGGCACAUUAGGAUCAUCCCUUCUUUCAUGUGCUCUAUUAAUGCUAUCAAAAGCAUUAAGUACUUCAUCACUUUCCAUGAAAGGGUCAUCACAAACAGGAGGAACAUCAGGAGGUGAUUCAUCAUUCAAUAUAGGGUCAUCUAUCCCAUGUUUUGCAAAGAAAUCUAGGACAGUUGUGUCUGACUUUAUUUUACUCAAGAGUCUCCUAAUCCCAUGGUCACCAUCAAGUAUAAAAAGUCCAUCUUCAAUACUCAGUCCAGGUUCCAGAUAAUAUAUUUCUGAUAUAUUGGCAUAAUUCAGUUCCUCUUUAUAUGUAUUCUUAAUGCAAAUAUCAGACAAGUAAUCAACAUCAAAAUUCUUACAUAUGUAAACAUCUCCUCCCACAUAUCUCCAAACAGAAUCCUUUAUACAUAUGCCCCCAUGAUGUAAAUGUACAUCUAAACGCCCAACCAUUCUGUCAGUAAAAGAAAAACCCAGAUUUCACAUAACAAUAAACAAUAAAGAGACAAAUUUAAAGUACAAAGUAUUAAUAAUCUAUAAAGAAUAAUAUAAGGGACCACAUGUCCCAUACCAGUCAACACCCAACUUAAACAUGGACCACGUGAUGUUCCCUACCACAUGCACUUUAUUAAUCAAAAUCGUGUCUGAACGUACCUGAGAGAUUCUUUUUCUUUUUCUUAAAAGCACAAACAGAGAAAUGACUGAUUCCUUUUCGUGGUAGGGACUGAUUCCUUUUCGUGGUAGGGACAGAUAAAUGACUCGCCUUCUUCUCGCCGAACUUCUUCGAUCACACUGGGCUUCACCUUCUUCGCGAUCAACAUUGGGCUUCACCUUCUUCUCGCGUCUUCUUCUCGCGUCUUCUUCUCGCGUCUUCUUCUCCUUUUUGAUCGAAGCCUCUCUCUUUGAAGAAACCGAUUAGGGCUUUUUUGCCCCUUUUUGGAUCAACACGUUUGUUUUGUUCUUUUGACCCGUGACGUUUCAAUUUGUUCUCUCUCUCUAAUUGAGUGCCAAAUAAGCAAAAAUGAUCAACGUGUAAACAGCGUUAGUCUAGGUGGCAGGUCUGUUGACAGCAAGGGCAUGGGUGGUCUACUCUUUGAAACGUUAAGGGUAAUUUUGGAAAAAAAAAUAGUUUAGAGUGAAAAUAAAACAUCCGUGUAAACAUCAGAGACAUUUUUGCACCUUUGCCCUAAAUCCGAUACCAAGGCUAUCCAUGAGAUUUUUAAAACAAACUUAAGAAUUCCGUACAAUCAAAUGUCGGGCACACACUAAAACACGCUCAAUACACGGUCAGUUUUUUUUCGAUCUUAUCUCUUUCGACAAAUUCUAUCCAACUUUCUUGCAAAUAGCUCAAUCAUCUUCUUCCCCACAACGUUUAGGGCUUGAUUUCAUCACCUGGUUCUCCUGUUUAUCUUCGUUACUUCUUUGUCCUGAUACGUUUCUUCUUCAAACAUUUUGUUGAUAUUUGUGGUGAUUGGUUUUUAUGAACGAUUUGUGGUUGUUUAAUUUCUCUGUAAAUUUGUUUUUGGUACCAUAAGGGUUUAUUGUUAAUUUAGUGCAAUUUUGUUUAAUUACUUCUGAUCUAGGGUUGUUUUGUGAUUUUGGUUAAUUGAUACUAGAGUAAUACUAAGCAAUUUUUGUUUGAUUUUUUCAGUGGCCGGCAACAGAUUUCUUGACAGAGAUGGGGGUGUUUCAGGUAUGAGAUCUUUUCUCUUGAUUACCUUUUUAAGUUCAUAUAUAUGUUUGAGUAUUUUGGAGAGCUCAUUGCUGAAACAGUAUGUCUAUAUGCACAACUUCAAGCAGCUCUAGUAUUGCUUUUGUUCUAUAAUAUAACACAAUUUAUUCUAUGAUCCAUUUGUUCAAUGUACUGAAAUUCUUCUUCUGAAAAUAAACAAAUAGACUUUCUUAAAGGAAAUGGAACAAUAAUGCAUCACUAUUUGUUGAAGUUUUGAGUUUUGACACCAUUGUUGCUUUGCCAGGCAGCAUAGGAUGGUAAUGACAGUGUUCUAACCAAAUUUACAUGAGGUUGUUGAAUAACAUGAAGGGGUGGAUUACUGAUUUAUAUAUCUACAAGAAAAGGGUUAUACAACAAGAAAGCGUAAACACAAAUUUCUUGCUUUUUCACAUGUCAAUAUUUAACGGUAUUGCCUUGGUAUGAUGCCUAUUCAAAGCAAAGUUAUGCUGCACUUGCAAUUCUUCCAUCUUGGAAAGUUGUUUGUGUUUUUCAUUUUGUUUUCAGCCACCUCCCACUCCCACUCCACCCUCAAUUACUUUUUCAUUAAGUUGCUCACGUGAGUUGAAAAGAGUACCGACUCUAUUCUUUUCAUUUUUGGUCUUUAUCCGGUUGUCAUGCAUCCUUAUAUUUCCUUUUAUAAACAUCAGUAUCAGUUAGGCUCAUGUCUGUCACAGUUUUUUGGUGCCCAGGUAUCAUGGUUCACCCGUUUUCUACUUGCUUUAGUUCAUAUGACAUCCUUUUAUGGGUAAUAAUAGUAGGAGUCUUUACCAUUUCUAUUUUAUGUUGCUGGACUCGAACUAUUAAUUGUUACUCCUCUUUCAGGCUAUGUUUUUAUCAUGGAAAUAUUUUUAGCAUUUGUAAUUUUUUGGAAAUACAUCUUGUAGUCCCAUCACAUGUGUUGUGGCUUGAUUAUGCUAUUUAUGAAUCAACCAAUGAUCUCUUUUGGAGAGAGCUGUUUGCAUUAUUUGUUGUUUAUUUGCUGGGUUUUAUUGUAAGAGUGUUGGCUGAGUAGGUUGGGUGACAAAUAAUGCAUCACUAUUUGUUGAAGCAAAAUGAUACAAGAAAAAGUUUGAUGAUUUGCAUAAUGCUUUCUUAAAGCAAAUGGAACAGUAAGCAUUAGAGUCUGACAUAUUUAGGAGUAGGGUGCAUGAGUCUCUAAAGUAAUGUAUAACCCUCUUUUUUAUUCUAGUAUUUUUUUUUGCAUUUGGGUUAAUUGCAGGAGGAAGAUUCAUAAAUAUUUAGUGGACCUGGAAAAGCUUCAAGUAAAGCUGGCAGAUGAAAGUCUACUUGAGGCUUGUGACCUUAAAAGGAGCUUAAAACUGGUGACACUGUUUGAAGCACAAUUGAAAGUAAUGAAUCUGAAUCUCGAUUCCAUCUCAAAGUAUGCAUUCUGUAUACACAAAGAAAGUAAUGAAUUUAAAUCUCGAGUCCAUCUCAAAGUAUGCAUUUUGUAUACACAUAAAGUAGGACACUUGGUGUAUUUUUCACUAUUUCACUUUGCUAAGGGCACUCAGUAUGACAAAUAUCAAAAGAAAGUAAUCCAUUAGCAUGAUAAUGUAAAAAGGUAAAUGAAUUGAGAAAGAGAGGGCAACGGUUCCCUUCUCUUAGAAUCUGAUUCAUCUCAUAUAUUUGCACAAUUAUUUGUUGAUUUUAACCAAUUAGUUUGGGUUAGAUGAGUUCAUGGUUGGAUUUAUGAUGAAUUGAGAAAGAAAGACAUUAAUGUUUUCAUCUUUUUCUUCAGACUAUGUAGCUGCUUUUUGACUGAGAUUUUGUAUGUUAUUUCCUUCUUGAUUUCAGAACUUUUCAUCUUUGUUGUGUUUUUUUCUUCUAAGAGUCGAGCCGGCGAAUAAAAGUGAAGGGGCCACAGCCUUGAGAACCAUUUUAGUACCAACAAUGAGUCUUUGCUGACCAGACGUGAUUAUAGUCCACGGAUUCCAGUCAUUAUUUACUUCAGAAAAGUCUAUUGUCCUCUCAACUUUCUCUUUGAUAAUGUAAUGCAAGUCUACAAUUGAUAAACUAUAUUUUUAUAAUUUUGGAUAGUAAAUCAAAAUCGCUCAAUUAAUAUAUAAUACUGAGUAGUAUAAUUGUUUUAAAAAUGAAAGUAAUCUGACACUUUUUUACCGUUUGAUGAAAAUGUAAAUUUUUUAUCAAAAUUUCAAUGAUUGAGAAUUCUUUUAAACUUUUCACGGUAAUUUUUUUUUAAUGACUCGAAUUUUUGGUAGAAUUGAUCUUAAUAUAAUCAACCAUCUAUUAAUAUGUUUGGAUCAUUACUAGCAAAAUUAUUAAGAUCAAAUAAUUGGUGUAUUGGAUAGAAUUGGAGGAAAUGUGUAAUGGAGGGGAUCCAAUUCCACAAUUGUGUGUUCAUGGUGCAGGCAUUUUGCUAAAUGUUAAUAUUUUUUAUUCUUUAUUUCUGCUAAUGACAUGUUAUGUAUGGGUUAUUGUCAUUAUACUCCUAUUAUUUUAAACUUUUAAAGUGAUUUUCGUAAUUAAUGAAUUGUCUUAAUCUAGAUAUGCUGCUAGUAUUUGGCCAGUCUUGAUGAAAAGCUACUAGUAAUCCUUCUUUUAACUAAUCAGUUGACUAGUUCUCAUGCAAGGUUUUAAAAACCGGACCGGCCGACGGUCGGACCGGUAAGAACCGGAAUCGGUCCGCCUUCCGGUCCGGUUUGGCCAAGAAAAUCGGUUUUGGUCAAAAUCCGAUUUGACCCGUUGACCAUCGGUUCAACCGGUGGUCCAACCGGUAAACCCGGUUAAUUGACCCAGUUGACCCAAUUUUUAAUUUUAUUUUUUCUUACCAAAAAAAAUUUAAUAUUAAAAUUAAUCACUUUUAUUAAUAUUGUAACUCAUCUUUAUUAUGUUUUAGUUCAUAAAAAACGAGAUUUUUUAAAAUUUUAUUAAUUACUAAUAAUAUAUAUUUUAUAUAUAAAUGACGUCACCGGUUAAAUAACGGUCCAACCAUUGGUUGGACCAAUGACCCAUCCACCCGGCACCCUUUUCGGUUCGAUGAUCGGUCCGGGUUUGAGAACAUUGUUCUCAUGAUUAGAAGAGUUAAUUGCACUUUAGGAUCUCCAAGUUCCACCCGUGUUACAAUUGGGUUUCCAAAAUAAAAAUCCUCUCAAUAUAGACCCAAAAGUAUAUUUAAGUAUGCGUGAUGGAUCUUAAUUAGUAAUUCGACGAAUUUUUUGGAUGGAAGACGGUCAAACAUACGGUUUGACCGUAUUUGACUUAUUAAAUCCGUAUAAAUAUAUAUUAAAUCUGUUAAUAACAUUAUUUAUUCCUUCGUAUAUGAGAUUCAUUUUUGAUAAUUUGUUUUAAUGAUAACUAAUUUGAUUGAUUUAAUAAUGGUCAGUUAGGUUCAUCAGAUUAUUAUCAUCUGCUAGAUUCAGGGAUGAUAUUACGUGUAAUUGAUAUUAUUCCUAAUUACUUGUAGUGAAUAGUAAUAUGUGAUUGAGUUGGAGCCUUUUGUGUAUUGUUGUGGUUAUCAGAAGACAAGUUAAACAGUCUGAGCUUGUGUGAUUGCUGUUUGGAAUAAUCUAAUUNNNNNNNNNNNNNNNNNNNNNNNNNNNNNNNNNNNNNNNNNNNNNNNNNNNNNNNNNNNNNNNNNNNNNNNNNNNNNNNNNNNNNNNNNNNNNNNNNNNNNNNNNNNNNNNNNNNNNNNNNNNNNNNNNNNNNNNNNNNNNNNNNNNNNNNNNNNNNNNNNNNNNNNNNNNNNNNNNNNNNNNNNNNNNNNNNNNNNNNNNNNNNNNNNNNNNNNNNNNNNNNNNNNNNNNNNNNNNNNNNNNNNNNNNNNNNNNNNNNNNNNNNNNNNNNNNNNNNNNNNNNNNNNNNNNNNNNNNNNNNNNNNNNNNNNNNNNNNNNNNNNNNNNNNNNNNNNNNNNNNNNNNNNNNNNNNNNNNNNNNNNNNNNNNNNNNNNNNNNNNNNNNNNNNNNNNNNNNNNNNNNNNNNNNNNNNNNNNNNNNNNNNNNNNNNNNNNNNNNNNNNNNNNNNNNNNNNNNNNNNNNNNNNNNNNNNNNNNNNNNNNNNNNNNNNNNNNNNNNNNNNNNNNNNNNNNNNNNNNNNNNNNNNNNNNNNNNNNNNNNNNNNNNNNNNNNNNNNNNNNNNNNNNNNNNNNNNNNNNNNNNNNNNNNNNNNNNNNNNNNNNNNNNNNNNNNNNNNNNNNNNNNNNNNNNNNNNNNNNNNNNNNNNNNNNNNNNNNNNNNNNNNNNNNNNNNNNNNNNNNNNNNNNNNNNNNNNNNNNNNNNNNNNNNNNNNNNNNNNNNNNNNNNNNNNNNNNNNNNNNNNNNNNNNNNNNNNNNNNNNNNNNNNNNNNNNNNNNNNNNNNNNNNNNNNNNNNNNNNNNNNNNNNNNNNNNNNNNNNNNNNNNNNNNNNNNNNNNNNNNNNNNNNNNNNNNNNNNNNNNNNNNNNNNNNNNNNNNNNNNNNNNNNNNNNNNNNNNNNNNNNNNNNNNNNNNNNNNNNNNNNNNNNNNNNNNNNNNNNNNNNNNNNNNNNNNNNNNNNNNNNNNNNNNNNNNNNNNNNNNNNNNNNNNNNNNNNNNNNNNNNNNNNNNNNNNNNNNNNNNNNNNNNNNNNNNNNNNNNNNNNNNNNNNNNNNNNNNNNNNNNNNNNNNNNNNNNNNNNNNNNNNNNNNNNNNNNNNNNNNNNNNNNNNNNNNNNNNNNNNNNNNNNNNNNNNNNNNNNNNNNNNNNNNNNNNNNNNNNNNNNNNNNNNNNNNNNNNNNNNNNNNNNNNNNNNNNNNNNNNNNNNNNNNNNNNNNNNNNNNNNNNNNNNNNNNNNNNNNNNNNNNNNNNNNNNNNNNNNNNNNNNNNNNNNNNNNNNNNNNNNNNNNNNNNNNNNNNNNNNNNNNNNNNNNNNNNNNNNNNNNNNNNNNNNNNNNNNNNNNNNNNNNNNNNNNNNNNNNNNNNNNNNNNNNNNNNNNNNNNNNNNNNNNNNNNNNNNNNNNNNNNNNNNNNNNNNNNNNNNNNNNNNNNNNNNNNNNNNNNNNNNNNNNNNNNNNNNNNNNNNNNNNNNNNNNNNNNNNNNNNNNNNNNNNNNNNNNNNNNNNNNNNNNNNNNNNNNNNNNNNNNNNNNNNNNNNNNNNNNNNNNNNNNNNNNNNNNNNNNNNNNNNNNNNNNNNNNNNNNNNNNNNNNNNNNNNNNNNNNNNNNNNNNNNNNNNNNNNNNNNNNNNNNNNNNNNNNNNNNNNNNNNNNNNNNNNNNNNNNNNNNNNNNNNNNNNNNNNNNNNNNNNNNNNNNNNNNNNNNNNNNNNNNNNNNNNNNNNNNNNNNNNNNNNNNNNNNNNNNNNNNNNNNNNNNNNNNNNNNNNNNNNNNNNNNNNNNNNNNNNNNNNNNNNNNNNNNNNNNNNNNNNNNNNNNNNNNNNNNNNNNNNNNNNNNNNNNNNNNNNNNNNNNNNNNNNNNNNNNNNNNNNNNNNNNNNNNNNNNNNNNNNNNNNNNNNNNNNNNNNNNNNNNNNNNNNNNNNNNNNNNNNNNNNNNNNNNNNNNNNNNNNNNNNNNNNNNNNNNNNNNNNNNNNNNNNNNNNNNNNNNNNNNNNNNNNNNNNNNNNNNNNNNNNNNNNNNNNNNNNNNNNNNNNNNNNNNNNNNNNNNNNNNNNNNNNNNNNNNNNNNNNNNNNNNNNNNNNNNNNNNNNNNNNNNNNNNNNNNNNNNNNNNNNNNNNNNNNNNNNNNNNNNNNNNNNNNNNNNNNNNNNNNNNNNNNNNNNNNNNNNNNNNNNNNNNNNNNNNNNNNNNNNNNNNNNNNNNNNNNNNNNNNNNNNNNNNNNNNNNNNNNNNNNNNNNNNNNNNNNNNNNNNNNNNNNNNNNNNNNNNNNNNNNNNNNNNNNNNNNNNNNNNNNNNNNNNNNNNNNNNNNNNNNNNNNNNNNNNNNNNNNNNNNNNNNNNNNNNNNNNNNNNNNNNNNNNNNNNNNNNNNNNNNNNNNNNNNNNNNNNNNNNNNNNNNNNNNNNNNNNNNNNNNNNNNNNNNNNNNNNNNNNNNNNNNNNNNNNNNNNNNNNNNNNNNNNNNNNNNNNNNNNNNNNNNNNNNNNNNNNNNNNNNNNNNNNNNNNNNNNNNNNNNNNNNNNNNNNNNNNNNNNNNNNNNNNNNNNNNNNNNNNNNNNNNNNNNNNNNNNNNNNNNNNNNNNNNNNNNNNNNNNNNNNNNNNNNNNNNNNNNNNNNNNNNNNNNNNNNNNNNNNNNNNNNNNNNNNNNNNNNNNNNNNNNNNNNNNNNNNNNNNNNNNNNNNNNNNNNNNNNNNNNNNNNNNNNNNNNNNNNNNNNNNNNNNNNNNNNNNNNNNNNNNNNNNNNNNNNNUUUAUUGAUUUCUAUUAUUAAUACUGAAGUUUCACUUUAUUGGUUUUUAUUAUUAGUUCAGAGUUAUUUUAAUUAAUUAUAAUCAGAAUUCCAAAACCCCCUUUGUAAUUAUUAUUUCGUAGAGUAGAUAAGAGCAAUAACUCUCCCUGUGGAUUUGACCCUUACUGCUCCUAUACUGUGCUUAUUUUCCAUUCGUAGAGUGAAGUGAAGUUCUAUCUUUUCGGAGUGUUAACAAAUCUGACACCUUGCUUCCUUACUAAAUAACUAUAUAGAGAGACCACAGGGAAGUGUUUUGAAUUUUAUUCUAGUGGACUAUGCAUAUAAAUUUGAAUUAUUUGAUUUCUUAGUGAUUAGACAAAAGGGACUUGUUGAUUCGUUUAGUUUUGUGUUUAAUUCAGGAAUUCAAGUGUAUGAGUUUAUGUGACGCGAUGAGUUUCAAAAGUUGACAUUCGACCCAGGAUCGAUGAAGUGGUUAUGUUUGUGAAUGAUCGAGAUCAUAAGAUUCCUAUUUGAUCCGGGAAUUCGUAAAUGGGAGUUUUUGCUACAUGCAGAGUUCUAUGUGCUGAUAUUUGAUCCAGGAGGAUAUGAGACUUUUCAUAGUUUUAUUUGCAUUUGUUUUACUACAUAUGCAUUUAUUUUGUUAGGUAGUAAAUUUGUUUGCAUUUUAGCUAUAGUUAAUUUAGUUUGUUUAGUUGUGGUUAAUAUUUUGGAAGUAUUUGGUUUACGCGUGGGAGAGCAUCGUGUUGGUGUGGACAGAUUCUUGAGUAACGGAGGUCAAAAGUUUAAGUUUCCAGGUUUUGUUACGAGUAUCUUGCAGGGUGCUACGCCACUUCAAGCAUCGCUUGGAAGGAAACAUUUACGAGAAGUUCUUGUUCAUACUGUGAUCUUUACGGGAGUUGAAGUUUUUGUUGAUUCUUCUUAUAUUCUUACUUGCAUUGCGAAUAGUGUUUAUAUAUUGCUUGUGAUAGGUGAGACUUAUGUUUAUGAUUCAUUUGAUGCUACUAACUUAGUUUGUUUGUAUGUAGGAUCAGAUUUGUGGAAUCCUUUUCAAGAUGAAGGGAUGUCAGAUUUGAGGACAAAUCUUUUUCAAGAUGAGGGGAAUGAUGAGAUCCUGACCAGGCUCGCAUCGAACGACGAUAACUUAACUCGAGUUCAAGAGGUUCAACAGAUGAUUUCAAGUAAUUGGGCCAACAUCUAUCCAAAGACAUUUAUUUUGGAGCUCAGUUCAAGUGAACCGCGGGAGAGGAACAAUCAUAUGAUUUGGGAUUGCUAGAUACAAUCUAUAUAGUGAGACCAAAUCAAUGCAAGUCAAGUCAUCAAGCCUGUGUUCAUUUGUGGCGUUUAAACCUCAACAAAUAUAUGAUUCUAUUCGAGGAUGGAUUAGCGUUCACGCGACAUUGUGGAUGUCCAAGCAAGACAAGGAGGUUGCAAAUUAUCACACGACAUCAUGAAGUUGCAAUGCACGGAACGAGGGAAGAAUCACAUUUGAGAUUUAAAAACAACAAGAAAACAAGUUUGGACAACCGGCACUGCCGCGCCAGAAAUAAGCCUUCUAGCGGCGCUGUCGCGCCAGCAUGCAGAAUAAACUCUGGACUACCAGCGUUGCCACGCCUGAAAUGGCCUACAAUCCGGCACUGUUGCGCUGUAACAAGAACGCAGAAGAUCCCUAGAGUAGCAACGCUGCCAUGUCAUUACCAUUUCAAAAUACGGUGCUGCCGCGCCGUGCACAAAAAAUUGAGGACACGUUUUUACGCGUUUUCAGCAAAUUACUUCCAUAUUUUUAAAGAUUUUAUCAGAUCUUUUCCAAUUCUAAUGUAAUUAGGAUGUUUGUUAGAUAGAUUUGAUUCCAAAUAGCUUGUUAAUUAGUAAUUCUAUUUCUUAUAGGAAUUAGGGGUUUAUUCUAUUAGUAUAAAUAAAAUACAUAGCUGAUGUAAUAGUUAGUUUUCAGAUUAUUAAUAAAAUUGUGAGAUUAUUCUCUUCUUCUUGGGUUCUUUGAGAACUCUCGAAUAUUUCAUGGUUUGUCUAUGAAUGUUCAUUUAUCGACUUCUCAUACAACAAUUCAUAGUUGUGUGUUGGCUUCAUCUACCAUACAUCAAACAUCGAUUGUACUUUUUGUUCUUGUCUCUUUAUAGACAUUAGGUCAAGAUGUCGUUGGUGUUCCAUUCAACGCAAGUUUCCUAGUUAUACUAAGAUUAGGGAUUAAGGUGUUGUGAGCGUUCCACCUUCAUAACUUGUUGGAAACGAUUCGGGCGACUACCACCUCAUGUAAGCAUGUUGUAGAGUCUAUCAUGGGGGGUUGAAUAAGUGUAGGAGCAAACGAUAUCAAAUUUUUAUUUAGAUUUAGAAACUUCCUUUUUGGAAAUGCAGGAUGUUGUAUUUAAUAAUUCAGCUUGCUGGAUUAACAAUGCAGUAUGCUAUAUCACGAAUUCAAUUUGCUGAAUUGACAAACUCAACAGAUUAUUCAAGGAGCAGUUUGUUUAUAAGUAUUUAUGACUUAAACUGAUUAUUAUUUUAGUUGAGUUAAUUAAUAUAUAAAUCAUAUUUUUAAUUCAAAUUUAAAGUUCUAGGUGAUCAAAUAAAAUGAAUGCAAUCAAUCACGAGAACACCGAGAAUUUUUACGUGGUUCGACCCCUAUCCUCUAUUCUAGUGGCCUAAUCCACGUCCAAUACAAACUAGUAUUGGAGACUCUUUAUUAAUUCACUUGAACUACAAUUCAACAGUUUUACAAAACAAGUUUAUCAAAAACUUAAACUACUUGAGCACUUUUGCUCUAUGUGCACCUAUGCACACCUAAGCACUCAUGCUUCCUUGAACCUAUUUGUAAAUUCACUCUAAUCCAAAUCGGAUUAGAACUCUCUAGACUAAGAAUUAGUCUAUCUAAAAAUAACAAAAUUACAAAUAAACAUUUACUAUGAUCAAAGCAAUUAAUCAAUUCUCAAUGCAAGGCUCAACUUAUGAAUGCAAUUAUCAAAGUAACAGUAAAGAUAUUACCAGUUAAAUCGUACCAAACAAGCUGGGAUUUUAUCAUAGACUUUUUAAUUCACAACAGCUUGAAUAUUCUUCUUACUCACAACACUAAGUAAACAAUACUACAUCUUUGCUUCUUUAAUUUUUAGUGCAGUGAAGUUCAUGUCUUUUACUGACUUAGGACUGCCCUUUUUAUAGGCUUAGGAAUAUUAUUACCGUUACAUACAAUCCCAAUAAAUUAAUUCCUAGUUGUUUGCUAAAGGGUCACGCCUUAAGGCAGAUAUGAAGGCAGGGGAUAAUGUGACGCCCCCAAAUCCCGGGGUCUUCCAAACUGCACCCGAAACUUGGGUCGCCAGAAACAACACCACAAACAAACACAAAUUUUUCUAUUUACAACUAUUGAUACAACGACAGUAUUCACACUUAAAAUAAAUAACACUUCAAAUGUGUUUGGUUCACUAAAAUCGAUUAAUAAAAUAUCGUAUAACAUACGACAUACACGCUUUAAGUUCCCAGUACAAUUAUUGACACACUAUUUUGAUAACUUGAUGAGGACAACCACUAACUUGAAUCAUUAUAGUUACUAACUCGAACCAUCACGCCAUUCCCAUGUUCUCCCUGCUAGACUCGGCUAUACUCUUAUUUCCUGAAAGGAUUUGUGAAGCAAAAGAGUGAGCUCAAAUAGCCCAGUAAGAAAUACCAUGACUAAGAUAAUGAAGAAUAAAUCAUCUUUAGCCUUCAACAGUGAAAAAUCUGAUAGAAUAUAAUAGACAACACGUUUUAAAUCAACAUUUGCAGCGGAAUUAACAAUCAAUUAGGAGAGUAUAAUAUCCAGAUCUAGCUUUCGUCAUCUGUAACACAAAUCAACAGUUCCUGAUCAUAAUUAUGCCGAUCGAAUCAUCUUUGCAUGUAAGCCAAAGAUAUUCAACAUUUAUAUCGUCUUUACACCCUCCACCAAAGAUAUUCAACAGAUCAAAUUAUCUUUGCAAGUAAACCAAAUAUAUUCAACAUCUAUAUCGUUUUUACUUUAAUAAGAAGAUUCAGAGAAAUAAAAGUUUAAGUGAAAUGAUAUUAGAUGAAGCGCAAACCUCAAAGGAAUUUCUAAUCAUUUCAAGAAUUAUAGAAGCAAUACUUAUAAUCAUGUUGAUCAAUUCAUCUUUGCACCAAAACCAAAGACAGUUAAUUAUAACACAUCAAUCAACAGUUCCUCUUUGCACCCAUGGCCAAAGAGAACUUUUAUCACGUAUCAUUGCCUCCAAGGCUAAAGACCCAAAACAAUCAUACUGUCUUUGCACCCAGGCUAAAUAGAACUUUCACCACAAUGAUUAUAAAAAUGAUAUAUAGGAUAAAUAGAAACAAUAAGAUCAAGGAUAAGCAUUAGAGAUUUGCAAUUUAAUUUAUAAUGCUGUAAAACGAAUAAUACUUUCUCAUCGUAAUAUGGAGUAUGAAAGAAAAUGAUAUCACUUAUGAGUAUCAAAGAAUGAUAACCCCUUAUGAGUAUGAAAGAAAAAUGAUAUUUUACGAGUGUUGGGCCAUAAUACUUUAGACAUUAUGGGCUUGGGUCUUGAAAGUAUUGGGUCGGUUCAUUAGGCUGAUCCAUAGGCUGAAUAAUAUCUUUGGCUAGGCUUUGACCGAUAAUCAUUACAUGGAUGAACUUUGACUGUUAUCCUGCAAUGCAUUAAUGAGGAAUUGACAUGGCCUAGUCGGCGGUGAGCUGUGAUGGGAUUAUCCGGUGGUUUGCGUGCAUAUGGCUGACGUGGGAGUGGGUCGGCAACAUGCAAGACAAAGAUGAGUAGUAUAUGAUAGCAGAGGAGAACAUAACAGAGGUAACUGAUACUUUUCUUAUCAAAACACUAGAGCUAAUAACCUCCAUUGUUAUCCUUGUAUCUGCCUGUACUGACUCUCACGCCGGAGCUAUCCCCCGACGGCCCAAGCCGUCAAGCUUCUGGUAUUGACGUGUUUACUGUGCAGGAUUGGGCGCGCUUUUGAGUGAUUAAGGUGCGUGGAAAGAUCUUGGCGUUAACAUUGGCGCUAGAAGGAGUGAUUUCUAGUGUUCUUAAAUUUCAAUCACAAAAAUCGACCGUCUUACGUCGAAAGUUAUGGAAAAAAGUAGGACUGCUAUGGUGGAAGGGCAGCCGAUGGCCACAAGUUCAUCAGCUCAGAGAAUAUUUGUCAAGGAUCGGUUGGGUCCUUCAAAGAGUGCUCAUGAUGGUACUGCUUCCAAGGAUGUUUCAGAAGGAUCUCAUACAAGAGUAUAUGACGAAGCGAAGAGAAGAUUGGUUUUUGCUGCUGACAAAAGACCUGACCAUGGUCGGAAACUAGUAGAAGGCACACUGCCUAGAACCUCAUACCGAGAUGGUCAGACCGAUAGGGUCUCCAAGUUGGCCAAGAUGGCAGAAGAAGCGGAUAAAGCUUUAGAGGUCCUUUUGAAAUAGAGAGAAGAAAUUGCCGAACAUAUGCUCCAUAUAGCGGAAAUGAAGGACGAAACGUCCAGUUACGCUCAGUCCGAAGAACAUAGCAGGUUCACAGAGAGGCUAUUGGAAAGAGGGAAGGAACUUGUACACUCUGGUCGUGUAUCUCAAGGCCGACCACUGGAUCAAAGAAGGUCAAGAAACCAUACUCCUGAGGAACCGAAGAGGGCACUCCACCCUAUCAGUUCUCGGGAUCAUGGUUGAAGCAGACGAAGAAGCAGGUCCAGGGGGCACACACCUGAGAAUACAAAGAAGGUAUUCCGCCUUGGGUAUUCUCACCAUAGUGGCAAAGCUCCUCUCCGAAGUAAGUCUAGAAGUUGUACCCUUGAGAAUCCGACGAGGAUACACUGCCCUGCGGAUAUUCGUCAUCGGGGAAAUCCUUCUAAAGCUGCAGGUUCAGAGGAUAAGGGCCUGUCGACUCAAAGGAGAAAGGAUUCUCCGGAGAAAGAAGUCUCCUCACAACCGGAAGGAGUAGAGUUUUUGGUUAAAGAAUUGAAGGAGCUUCGGAGACAGCUUGCCGAAGUUCAACAAGUAAAAGAUACUUCGGGGAAAAAGGCUUCUCCUUUUUCUUCGAAAAUUCUUAAGGAGAAAGCUGACCCUACCAAAAAGCUUCCUCAUAUUGAAAGUUACGAUGGUUCAGGUGAUCCCUAUGACUAUAGCCAAGCAUUUGAUAGGCUAAUAGAUUAUUAUGAUUUCACCGAUGCGGCUAAGUGUCAGACGUUUGUGACAACUCUCAGGAAGGAUGCCAGGCAGUGGAUGGGAACUCUGCCUUCAGAUUCAAUCUCUACUUGGACGGAUUUAUAUGGUAAAUUACAUGCUCGUUUUGGAAGCAAUAAGAGUAGAGGAAAACCUACGGGUUCGUUAGCUCAGGUUCGACAGUAUUCCAAUGAGUCUUUGGGCCAGUAUGUAAAGCAUUUGAGAGGAGCCGUUGGCCAAGUGUCUGAUCUCAAUGAUCUUCAGGUUGUUGGACUGUUUCAGAAUGGUUUGGACCUGGUUAAGUCAGAAAAGAUGGUGAAGAAGAUGAUGUUCCACCACCCGAAGAGCUUAGCCGAAGCGUUUGAUGAAGCAGAGGGUUAUAUCGUGGUGGAAGAAGCUAUGAUUAGCCUGAGACGUACCACUUUGGACCGGCUGAAGGAGGCAGACAAAGAUAAAGUUGAAGGUGGCCAGAAGAAGAACGGUGAGAAUAAUGAUCGUUCUUAGGGGGGUUCUAAGAGAUAUAGCAGCAACUGACGUCAGGGUGGAGGUCGUCCGCCUGUUCCAGACCAGAAGGUGAACAAGGUCUAUACUCAGUUGAACACGGAUCGGGCCAUCAUUUUGGACCAGAUCAAAGAUCAGCCAUAUUUCGAACCGCCUCGGGACAAUCUUAGACCCGGAUCUGGCAAUUCUGGUAAGUAUUGUGAUUAUCAUCAGACGUCUGGGUAUGCAACCAAUGAAUGUCACAGUUUAAAGGAGUUCAUUGAAAGAAAGGUCCAGAGUGGUACGUUAGUUUAGUACGCAGCUGGAAGAGAGCCUCAACGAGAGCAGCAGAGGGAUAAAGCGUCUGUUCAGGCUAUUCAACCAAUUCCACCUGCGUUACCAGCUCCUAGUCAACCAGCAAGGCAUGUGGUUGAUGUAAUUACUGGGGGUACUUCUGGCAAAGUUAUAGGAAAGAAGCGUCGAGGAUAUCUGGAUUCGGUCAUGUCAGUGGCGGGUACGCUCUCGAAGACUGAAAGACCUUAUCCAGGUACGAUAAUUUCUUUUAGCGAUGAGGAUUACCCUUCUGAACCCAUCGAACCUCAUGAAGGGGCACUGGUGAUCACUGCACAAGUGGGUUCGGUUGAUAUGAAGAGGAUGAUGAUAGACAAUGGAUCUUCUGUUGAUAUUCUAUACGCAUAUACUUAUCAGAGGAUGCAUUUGGAUGAGCAAAAGAUGGAGGUCGAGCAGGAAGCUCCUUUAUAUGGCUUCAACAACGAUCCGGUCAAAGUGGCGGGGACCAUUGAGCUGUCAGUCAUCUUCGGUACAACCCCACAACAGGUAGAAAUAGUAUGUAAAUUUUAUGUUGUGCAUGUAGAUUCGGCCUACAACGCCAUUUUAGGGAGGCCCACCUUGACUGCUCUUCAAGCCGUGACGUCAAUUCCCCAUUUUAAAAUCAAAUUCCCGACGUCUUAUGGAGUUGGUGAAGUGGCUGGGGAUCUUGAUUUAGCUCAAAGAUGCUAUCGGAAUGCUGUGAUUGCUUCUGGAUUAGGGGUUAGUAAGCAAAAACAGACUCUGGCUAUUGAGAUUGAGCCCUUUACUGAAAGCAGUUCAGAGCCGUUAGUCAUGCCGGCUGGGGAAACUAAAGAGAUCGAGCUAAUUCUAGGAAGGAGGGACAAGACGAUGAAGAUAGGUUCGGGUCUGCCAGAACCUCUCCGGACAAACCUAGUAGAAUUAUUACGUUGCUAUGCUGACAUCUUCGCUUGGGUAUCUAGUGAUAUGCCUGGGGUGAGCAGAAAAGUUGCAGAGCAUCGACUUUAUGUGGAUCCAACAAAGAAACCAGUUCGGCAGAAGAGGCAGAUAUUUGCACCAGAGCGUCAAAGGAUUAUUGAUAAAGAAAUAGCCAAACUUUUGGCUGCUGAUUUUAUAGUCAAAAUUGAUUGUCCGGAGUGGAUGGCAAAUAUGGUCCUGGUAUAGAAGCAAAAUGGGAAAUGGCGAGUCUGCAUUGAUUACACGGAUUUAAAUAAAGCUUGCCCGAAGGAUUUUUAUCCCUUGCCUCACAUUGAUUAGCUCAUGGAUGCAACUUUGGGAUAUGCCUUGCUGAGAUUCAUGGAUGCAUUCUCUAGGUAUCACCAAAUUUCUAUGUGUAAAAAGGAUAUACCGAAGACGGCGUUAGUUACGCAUCAGUCGGUAUAUGCCUAUAAGAAGAUGACAUUUGGCUUAAUAAACGUUGGGGCCACAUAUCAAAGGAUGAUGAACUUCACCUUUGCGAAACAGUUGGAACGAAAUAAGGAGGUCUACGUUGAUGAUAUGAUUGUAAAGAGCAUGUUGGUGCAAGGGCAUUUAGAUGAUUUAGAUGAGUGCUUCCAGACCGUUCGUCAUUACAACCUGAAACUGAAUCCUACUAAAUGUACCUUCGGUUUUGGUGCAGGCAAGUUCUUGGGUUAUCUGGUUAGCAAACGGGGUAUCGAAGCAAAUCCAGAGAAGAUCCAGGCUAUUCUGAACAUGAAGACUCCUCAAUCUUUUAAAGACGUUCAACGUCUAACAGGAAGAAUUGCAGCUUUGAGGAGGUUCAUGUCUAAGUCGGCGGAGAGAUGUUUGUCGUUCUUUGAUACGUUGAAAGGGCCGAAGAAUGCAAAGACGUUCCAAUGGACUUCGGAAUGUGAAGACGCCUUCCAGGGAAUAAAGACGUAUCUGUCUUCAGUGCCUUUGUUGGUGAAGCCCGCUCCUGCUGAGCCAUUGUACUUGUAUUUAGCAGCUAGUUCAUCGACAGUAGGAGCAGUAUUGGUGCGUGAAGUUGGGGGUAAGCAACACCCGAUUUACUAUGUGAGCCAUGUCCUUAAGGAUGCUGAAACAAGGUACCCGAACAUUGAAAAGUGUACCUUUGCUUUGAUCAUAGCUAGUCGAAAGCUUAGGAAGUAUUUUCAAGGUCGGUUGUUAAUAGUUUACAUAGAUCAGCCCUUGAAAAAGGUUUUGGGAAAACCUGAGGUUUCGGGGAGACUUGCGGCUUGGACGAUGGAGUUGUCUCAAUUCUUCAUAGAGUAUCAUCCCCGAACGGCUGUUAAAGCGUAGGCUUUGGCUGAUUUUGUGGUUGAGUGUUCAUUUUCUGAGGCUGAUAAUAGCUUGUGGGAGGCUGAAGGGUCUGACAAAGCAGUUGUAGUACUUCAGCAGAAGCAAAGUUCGUGGACGCUAUUUGCAGAUGGAUCUUCUACUUCGGGUAUCAGUGGAGCAGCAAUUAUCUUAUCAAGUCCGGAGGGAUUCAAAGUGCAGCAGGCUAUUAGGUUCGGGUUCAGAGCAACGAACAACGAAGCAGAGUAUGAGGCGGUGCUAGCAGGAUUACGACUGGCGAAGAGCCUCAAAGUUCAAAGAUUGAUCAUUUACAGUGACUCUCAGUUAGUUGUCAAGCAGAUUUCAGGGGAAUAUGAAGCUCGAAGAUCAAGGAUGAUCAAGUAUCUAGCCGAGUUAAAGGAUCGACUCCAGUACUUCCUUUCUUAUGAGUUUCAAGGAAUUGAUCGCAAUGAUAAUUCCACUGCUGAUGCAUUAUCAAAGCUGGCUACAACGGAUGCAAGUACUUUUGAUGGAUCGGUAUACUUGGAAACUCUACAACAACCUAGUAUCCAGCAUGAAUCAGUAAUGUGCGUUGAGCGUUCGAGUUGCUGGAUGACUCCAUAUCUGGAGUAUUUUGUAAAUGGCGUACUUCCUUCGGAUCAGAUGUUGGCUAAGAAAGUAAAGUAUAAGAGUGCUAAUUUGGUGCUUAUUGAUGGGGAUCUCUUUCGAAGGGCUUACUCAUCUCCAUUGUUGAAGUGUCUGGUUUCGUCUAAGGCUGAAUAUGUUCUUCGCGAAGUUCACGAAGGUAUCUGUGGAGAUCAUAAGGUAGCAAAGUCGUUAGCUUACAAAGUACUUCGGCAGGGCUAUUAUUGGCCUACCAUUUUUAAGGAGGUUGCGGAGUAUGUGAAGAAGUGUCAGAAGUGUCAACUGAAUAGUCCGAUCCCACAUCAGCCACCAGAAGAGCUAUACUCGGUUUUAUCUCCUAUACCUUUUGCUUUCUGGGGGUAGAUAUACUGGGUCCGUUGCCGAAAGCUAAAGGUCAGGUCAGUUUUGUUAUAGUAGCAAUUGAUUAUAUGACCAAGUAGGUAGAGACAAAGCCACUCAGGUUGAUAAUCGAACAUGAAUGUUUAAAGUUUCUGAAGGAGUCUGUGGUAUUUCGUUUUGGCAUCCCGAUGGUGGUGAUUUCUAAUAAUGGACGCCAUUUCGUGGGAUCAAAGUUUGAAGCGUUUCUGAAAGAAUUGGGGGUCCAACAUAGAAGGACUUCAGUAGCUCAUCCACAAUCUAAUAGGCAGGUUAAAGUGACUAACAGAAUACUUUUGAAUGGGAUCAAGCGAAGAUUGGAUGAGGCAAAGGGAAGAUGGCCAGAGGAGCUGCUCAGCGUACAGUGGGUUUAUCCUACUACGAGGACUACAAUGGGAGAUUCACCUUUCAGGUUGGCUUAUGGCAUAGACGCCUUAGUCCCUGUGGAGAUUGGAUCAACAAGUCUCCGGGUCAGUUAGUUUAGAGAAAUUUACAACGACGAAGGACUGAAGGUCAACAUGGAUUUAUUGGAAGAAGUCAGAGAGGCAGCUUUGAUAAAAUUGGCAGUGUAUCAACGACGUGUAGCUAAACACUAUAACAACGGGGUAAAGCUUCGGAGGUUUGAAGUAGGAGAUUUUGUCCUCAGAGAAGUCGAAGCUUCUAUGCCUCAGUGUUUGGGAAAGCUGAUGCCAAAUUUGGAAGGUCCUUAUGAAGUUAUCGAAGUGCCGAAGCCAGGGACUUAUCGGCUGAGAACUUUAUAUGGAUCAGAAAUCAAGAAUACUUGGCAUGCUGGUAGGCUUCAAAAGUAUUUUCAAUAGAGAUAAUGUCAGUCUGACGGAGUCUGUAAUUAUUUGAAUUAUCAUCAAUAAAAGAAGCUUUUUCUCCAAUGAUGUUUUGGUCAACAAAGUUCUUUCGGCGUUCGGAGGUUCGACUGGAACCAUUCGUCUUAAAGGCGGCGGAUCGGUUGAUUACGGAGUUUGUUCGGCCCUGCGUUGGUCAACAAAAUUAUUUCGGUGUUCGGAGGUUCGGGAACCAUUCAUCUUAAAGGCGGUGAAUCGGUUGACUACGGAGUUUGUUCGGCCCUGCGUUGGUCAACAAAAUUAUUUCGGCGUUCGGAGGUUCGGGAACCAUUCGUCUUAAAGGAGGCGAAUCAGUUGAUUACGGAGUUUGUUCGGCCCUGCGUUGGUCAAAAAAAUUAUUUCAGCGUUCGGAGGUUCGGGAACCAUUCGUCUUAAAGGCGGCGAAUCGGUUGAUUACGGAGUUUGUUCGACCCUGCGUUGGUCAACAAAAUUAUUUCGGCGUUCGGAGGUUCGGGAACCAUUCGUUUUAAAGGGGGCGAAUUGGUUGAUUAGGCAAAUGCAGAUCUAUCUCACACUUCGGUAACAAAUAAGUAUUACAUUACUUUAUUACAUGAUUUUAGUUAAGUGUUGAGUUCAGAUUAUGUUAUUAUUUAACAUUAUCUGUUGAUUAACUUGCUUAAACUAUUGGUUAACAGUUUAAGAUAAGUUGAAGAAAGAGUUUAUGCAUUAGUAAAGUUGAUUAAUGGUGAAUUAUUGACAAGAAAUGAUCACAAGGAAGUAAUAAGGAUAAAGUUGAUAAUGAUUCAUAUUAACUAUUUACAAAAAGAUAUGGGUCUUUACAAAGAGUUCAAAGGCUACAGGAAAGUAAUGACAUCUUCAGGAUUCCUUAUUUUCUUCGCUGUCUGAAGAGUCGAGGAGAACCGGGUCUACCUUGGCCGAUACAAGUUUGGCUUUGUCUUUGCUUCGGCAGACCUCGUACCCUUCAGAAUACAUUUGAACAAUCUCAUUGUUCAGCUCGGCGGAUUUCCUGUAAUUUUCCUCGACUUCUUUACGAAGAUCGUCAGUUAGGGGCGGACCUAAGUCCCUUAGGGCCCCAAGUUCUCGAAGCUCCUCUUCAACCUUGCGACGCUUCUUCAAGUGUCGAUCCUCCCUGACUUGAACUUCGUUGAUUUGUAUCACCAGACUCUGGUUGGAUUUUGCCAGAUCUUCAUUCUUCUUUUACAAAAUUGUGUUCCUCUAAACUAAGUCAACAUUCAUGUUAACUGUUGUUCAAUGAACGGCUUCAGUGGUCUCUAACUUAUCCUUUACUUGAGUGAGCUCCUUUCGGAUACACUCAUUGUUGAAGAGGGCAAUGUCAAGAUUGCUUCUUUCCUUCGCCAAGGCAGACUUGAAUAUGGCAUUCUCUUUCCUAGCGGCAUCUUCUUCGGCUUUAAAUUCUUUAUAUUUGGGACGAAGAUGCCUGAAGAUACCGUUUGCCUACAUAUGUUUAGAGUGGAUCAGUUAGUAUCGGCUGAAUAUAAAUAAUCUCAAGGAAACAAAUUAUAGACGAUUUACCUUGGCUUGGUACAUCAAUCCUUCAUCAAGUAAAUCCACAACGGAACUGUUACCGAAGCGGUGGUUGUCUGUGUCACACACAAAUGAAUUUUAGAGUUGGAAGGGGAAUUCUUCGUGAAGAUCAGGCCAUAGAGUGGGAGAUACCACAGCUUCAGACCUUGCUUGGGAAGAAGAUGGUCUUUCUGGUGGUUUAGCAAUGAUAGGUUCAGGAGGUGGUGGUGGUUGAUCAUCAGAAGGUUGUUUUCUUUUGCGAGAAAGGGGUGAAGAAGGCUCGAUUUGUUCUUCAAGUUAUUCCUCAGAAACUUGGAUCUCCACUGGGAUGACUGGUGGUUGAAAGGCUUCAGUGGAGGGUAUUCGAAGUGCUUCGGCAGAAAGUGGGGUUAUUUUGAUUUUCCUCUUUUUGGUACGAAGAGCUCGAGUUCGUUCGUCCAGAGGCUUAUCAAGCAGGCUUGCGCCAAAUGCUUGUGGAUGGAUAGGUUUGGCUUUUCGGCUGGCUCGCUUCUUUAGGCGGGGUUGGCUAGGCUCUUCGGCCAGAGGGGGUUCCGCAGUUUGUGCCUCAACCAUUUGGAUUCCCGAAGAUGAAGUUUCAGCGGUUUGAGCUUCGGCAGUAGCCUCAGAUGGUUUGGAAAAAAUGAAUGCUUCAAGAUCUCUUCGGGACUUCCAUUUGUGGUCGUACAACCACGCUUGCUUAGUCAGGAUUCCGAAGCUCCAUUCUUUCUUCAGAAAAUUCUCCAGAAGUUCUAUCAUCUCUUUUAUACGCUCUUCGGAGAUGUCCCCAACAUCUACAGACAGCUUGUUAGCAGUGGUCCAGUUCGGGAGAGAGGCUAUUUCAUGUCCUUUGAUGAAGAACCACUCCUGAUGCCAUCCUUUGUUGCUUGAAGGAGUGCUGAUCAGGGAGCGUCUUUCAAAGUUCUCGUCCGGCUUCGAGGACUGUUUGUUUAGGGCUUUGAAUCCCUUCUCUUGGGACUUGCCAACAUAGUAGAUGGAGAAGAAGAAGUCCAGGGUAGGUUCGAUGCCUACCUCGUGGAAGAAGGUGAUGAAGGCCAGAAUGUGGAUGUAGGAGUUGGGUACCAGUUGGGCAAAUCUGAUACCAAUAAAUCCCAGGAGGGUGAUGAUGAAGGCAUGCAAAGGGAAGUGAACUCCCUUCUCGAGCAAAGUGAGGGGAAUAGCCGUCCAGCCAUCGGGGCGUUGGUACAUUCUCUCUGAAGAGGAAGGCGCCCUUAGGUGAUGGGUUUCUAGAAUUUGAUAUUGGUCUCUGAUGAUACGGACCUCUUCUUCAGAGAGGGUGGAAGGGGUAUUAGCAAGAAGAAAUUGUUCUUCGUUCUUGAAGAACUCAGUAGGGUUUGGGGUAGGCUUCAUAGGAGCAGAUUUUUUGAUUGGGGUAGCUGUGGGUUUGGGGUUUGAUCCCGGAACUGUUUCAGUUGUGGAUUGAACUGAUGGAAUAAUAGCGAUUGUGGUGACAAGGGGAGUAACUUCCUUGUUGGAGGCUUGGGACGCCAUUGAUAACAGAUUUGCAGAGAGAAAGAGAUCGGGAAGAAGAGAGAGGCUGAAGAAAUCUGAGAAUUUCAAAUAAGCUGGUAAAGCUUUCAAAGAAAGAGAAAGAAGGCUUUUAUAGUAGCUGUCUUUUCGAGUGUUCACGCAACACGAAGGCGACAUAUUUAAUUCUGGCAAUGAUGGCGAAUUUGAAAGGGUAUUAACCAGAGUGGGCUUCCAGAUUGGGCCUCCGGUUUCUGAGUACCUUGUUAUUUGAACUUCCUACCAGUUGGGCCUCAGGAGAUUUUAUUAUUUGGGCCAUCUAUAUUCUUUCAUUAAACAUUCUGUUUAAUAAAAGAUUGGAGGGCAAUGUUGGACCAUAAUACUUUAGACAUGAUGGGCUUGGGUCUUGAAAGUAUUGGGCCGGUUCAUUAGGCUGACCCAUAGGCUGAAUAAUAUCUUUGGCUAGGUUUUGACCAAUAAUCAUUACAUGGAUGAACUUUGACUGUUAUCCUGCAAUGCAUUAAUGAGGAGUUGACAUGGCCUAGUCGGCGGUGAGCUAUGAUGGGAUUGUCCGAUGGUUUACGUGCAUAUGGCUGACGUGGGAGUGGGUCAGCAGCAUGCAAGACAAAGAGGAGUAGUAUAUGAUAGCAGAGGAGAACAUAACAGAGGUAACUGAUACUUUUCUUAUCAAAAUACUAGAGCUAAUAACCUCCAUUGUUAUCAUUGUAUCUGCCUGUACUGACUCUCACGCCGGAGUUAUCCCCCGACGGUCCAAGCCGUCAAGCUUCUGGUAUUGACGUGUUACUGUGCAGGAUUGGACGCGCUUUUGAGUGAUUGAGGCGCGUGGAAAAAUCUUGGCGUUAACAACGAGUAUGAAAGGAAAUGACACUCCUUACGAGUAUGAAAAGAGUGAUACCCCUUACCUCAAUUAGCAAGUGACAGGAUAUUGCUUUCUAUGAAGUUUAUCAACUUGAACAAUACAUGUAUUCCUACCGAUCUUCCCAAAUACUAAAGAUAGCCUAGCUCACUUAGAGAGAAUUUAUACUAAGAAAUUUUUAGAGAGAAAAAUGAAAUGCAAGUAAUGAAGUUAUGAAUUUUCCUUAUGCUAAGUCUUCCUAUUUAUAGCCAAAAUUCACCACAUUUAGUAAAUAUACUAUUCACCCAUUAUCAUUAUCUUUAAACAUAAUGAUUACCUAUUUUCAUCUAUUAUUAUUAUUUUUAAAAGUAAUGAUUAUUUCCAUUAUCAUUAUUUAUUAAAAAAAUAAAAUGAUUAUUUCCAUUAUCAUUUAUUUAUAAAAAGAUAAAUCCAUUAUUAUUAUUUAUUCAAAAGAUAAAAUGAUUAUUUCCAUUAUAAUUUAUUUAUAAAAAGAUAAAUCCAUUAUCAUUAAUUAUUCAAAAAAUAAAAUAAUUAUUUCAAUUAUUUAUAAAAAGAUAAAUCCAUUAUCAUUAUUUAUAAAAAAUAAAUCCAUUAUUAUUAUUUAUAAUUUUUACCAUUCAUAAAAAUAUCUUUAUUCUACCAUAUAUUAAUUACCUCACGUAUUAAUUUAUCCAUAUUUUUCACAUUUCAAGAUUACAUUUAAUCUUUACUAUUCAAAAUCAUUAUAUCAUUCAUCUUCUUUAUUAUUGGCUUAAUGUGUUACUAUCACAAAUAUUAGUGUUCUUCAAAUAAUGACUAUGUCUAAUAGUUUAAUACCCAUGACUUCCAUUUAUGCAACUUUUCAAUAAUACCCUUACUACAAUGAUAAUUAUUAAUUAUAUUUUAUAAAUUAAAAUAUAAAUAUAAUUUAUGUUUAUGUUUUAUGUUUUAUGUUUAUAAAUUAAAAUAUAAUUUAUUUUAAUAUAUUAAAAUAUAAAACAUAAUUUAUUUUAAUAUAUUAAAACAUAAUUUAUUUUAAAACAUUAUAUCCUAAUUUAUAAAUGUUAAAAUUUAAUGUAUUUUAAUAUAAUUAUAAAUUAGGAUAUAAAUUAUAUUUUAAUAUAUUUAAAAUAUAUAAUCAAUUUGAAUUAAUAUAAUUAUAUUAAUUAUCAAAAAGAUAUGUAUUUUAUUAAUAUAAUUAUACUAAUUAUCAAAAAGAUAUGUAUUUUUAUAUUAUAUUAACGCCAUAAAGUUGCGUCAAGCAUGAGUCACCGAAAGGAAAAAGGUUUGUAUCUAUACUCUAAAAGAAUAGUUAUCAGAUUGUUUUAAAAAAUUGAACUUAAUAGUGAUACCGAGUAUGCAUGUAUUAGUUAAGGUAUUAUGUUCGUCAAAUUCCUUUGGCCGCAGCUCUUUCCUGCUUUCCCGAUUUGACUGGCCGUGGGAAGAAGGUGCAGCCAGGCCGCGGGAAGAAAGUGCAGCCUGGGUGAAAAAUAAAUAAAUUUAAAGACAUUUUGGUAAUUUUACUAAAUAUUAGUAUUAUAUAUUUUUUACAUACUAAAAUUAAAAAUCAUAUUAUCUUGCCACUUGAACGUGUCCUACUUCUGUAACUUCUCUCUCUCUCUCGUUUUCUAUUAUUUCAGUGAAGAACUACUUCUGCAAGAGGAUGGUUCGGAAGUAAGUGGCAUGGCAAAUGAGUUUAGCAAGGUAAUGCAUCUCAGCCAAGCUUUGGUUCCUACAGAACCCUUGAUUGGGGGGAGAAGAUUCAGCGGUACCUCCUUCCUCUCUCCUCUCUCCUCUCUCCUCUCUCUAAGGUAUAGUAGCAGUAUCAGAUCUAUUUUUUCUCUUUCUAAGAUGAAGAAGAUGAACAUAGUAGCAGCAGCCAUGGCCACCGAACAUAGUAGCAGCUCCGCCCCUGACAGCCCGCGCCGGCGCAGCCCAGCCGUCCUUCUUCACUCCCUCUGCCUCGAUUCCUCCGACCGCGCCGUGGACUAUGCCCUUGCCGCUGACCUCGGUCUUCACCGGCUGACCUCCCUCUCCUUUGUGAUUUCUUUUCAAAUUGAGAGUAUUUAUGAUUUCUUUUUUGUUGGUUGCUGAAAUGGGUGGAUCUGUAUGUAUAUGUGGUGGAUCUGUAUGUAGUAUCUAGUAUUGAUUGAUAGAUUGGGUGGAUCUGUAUGUAUGUGGUGGUAGGUCGGCUGGAUCUCAUCGUGGUGGUGGAUCUAUUGAUGACGUGAUUUUGAGAGACGGCGGUGCAUAGUGGUGAUAUUAGACGGUGGUGGUGGUGGUGGUGGAGGUGGAUGUGGUGGACUGGUGGUGGUGUUGAUGUCCGAUAUUAGAUGGUGGUGGUGGAUAUAAAUAUAAAUAUUAAUUUUGUUUAUUAAUUAUUUAUUUUAUUUUUUUUUAAAACAAAAUAAAUAAUUAAUAAACAAAAUAAAUAUCAACAAAUAUUGCCAUGUCAGCAAAUAUUGACAUGUGUCAGUCACGUUAUAAAAGGUUUAACAUCCGUUUGUCUAGUUGGCACAAUUGUUAACGGCAGGAACACGAAUGAUCCAAAAAUUGUAACGUUAAGGGUAUUUUUGGACCCAAAAAAAGUAUAGGAUGCUCGGUAGACAUUGAAAAAAAUGUCAAAGAUAUUUUUGAACCUUAUCCCGGAUCAUUACCAUAUAUAUAAGGUAUCAAUACAUGACAACCGAUUGCCAUGGAUACUAUUUGAACAACCAAUAUAUCCACCGUUGAUCAUUUGAAUGGAUGACUUGGAUUGAUAGAAAAUUUCCGCCUGUCGCUACAAGCUCUGGUGUAGAUCUGACGGCAAUUUAAUUUUGCAGUACCAAUUCCAGUUAGGCGACUUGGUAGACUUAGUAGUUGACAAUACAACAAAAGCAUAUUUAGCAUAAUACACUCCACUCGUGCAAAUAAAUAACAAAAUCCUUCACAAAACAGCCUUGAGCACUUCCAGUAUGAGGGAUAUACUGACUCUCACCGACUUUACAGUCGUUGAUAACUGCAAUUUGCCCCCUUCUGCAAUUGGCACCCUUCUGCAAUCUUCAUUUAAGCAACUAUUUGUCACUGCAAAAUUAGUAUCGAUUAGAAGCAUGCCCAAAUUUCAGUUAAAGGUCACAGACUCGGUGCAGAUUACAACCACUAUUUUAAUCUUACUCAUUAAGAGGUGAAAUUUUUGUGAGCUGGCCAUGCAACCACUAACAAUAUAUUCCGGAACUCAAAAUGGUUUUACCAGUAUAGAUGAAAAACCAAUUUUUACAUCCUUAACUUUGUUAGUAAUUAAAAGCACACUAAAUUUCGUUUACGUAAACGAAAUGCACCACCCUCCAAAAUACGUGUAAAAAAGUGCAAAAUAUUAAAAAGAUAUAUAAAAAGAACAUAACAAUCACAUUUUAUAACCAACAAAAAUGUGCAAGUGCAUAGCUUUAAUAAAGGGUCAAGUCAAGGUCAAAUUAUAAAUAAUCUCUCUCCAACCAAUCCCUUCUCCCCCUCUCUCAUUUGAAAUGCAUAACAGCCACAUAAUCCUCUAAAAUUUGACAAUAUACAUUUCAAGCCAAAGCAGACCCAUUUGAUUGAUAAGUAGAAGAAAGGAUCAGGAGAUUGAUUACAUAUUAUGUUUAUCUUUAUUUAGUGAUACAUCUAUUGUAAAUUUGUAAUUAAUAAUUAAUUUUAUUAUAUCAGUUAGAUUAUUCUAAAAGUUUAAUUACAGUCAUAGAAUAGAAUAGAAUUAGAGUUUGUUUCCUUGGACUACAUGUUGCAAUCGCAGCGAUAGAUUUUGAAUAUUUGCCUGAUUUGCUAUAAGUGUUGCAAGGGACUGCGCAAUUCUUUUAAGGUGGUCCUCCCAACUAUAUGUCACCGUAGCUGCUAAUAUAUAGGUGUAUAAGCACAUAUAUUCUUCUGCACAAUUCUUUAACUGACUCCAAUUUUUAAAAAGAACUUGUUGACUCUUUUUAUAUUAACCAGGGACCAAACUUAAAGAAAGUAAUAAAACUAGGCAAAAACUGUGAAGACUGAAAGUGAAAGAACUGACUUGUCAAAUAGAAAAUUGCGGGACUAAACAGUCAAGUUUCAAAAAUUAAGGGACUUCAAAAGAUUUAGAAAGCCUCGGAACUAAAAUAAAGAAAAGGAAGAUUUUGGGUCACAACCGAAAUUCUGCAAGAGAUAUUUAAGUCUAUCAAAUACCUCUUCCUCCAACAUGAUUACCAAUUAGUCACACAAGCAGCAAAUAGCGAUGAGUGCAAUAUACAAACGGACAAAGGGAAAUUGAUGUUGCCAACUUAAAGAAUGGAGAGAAAAACGGAGUGGGCCAGUGACAAAGGAGGGGAUAAUCUACGAUAACCACUUUCUNNNNNNNNNNNNNNNNNNNNNNNNNNNNNNNNNNNNNNNNNNNNNNNNNNNNNNNNNNNNNNNNNNNNNNNNNNNNNNNNNNNNNNNNNNNNNNNNNNNNCUUCUCUGGUACUUUAAUAGCCAUACAGGCGUUUGGAGAUGGUGAACCAUGUUGAUUUUCUCAAAGAUGGCAGUUGCAUCAAAAUUCUUUAGUGUUGUGGUGGUUCCAAAAAAAUUGUGCUUAUGGAACUUGAGCAUAAGAUGCACAUGUUUUGAUGGAAGACUCUCUAACUGUGGUUUCUUAUGUAAUUAUUAUAAAACUAGUGGAAUGAUGCGGAGCAAGAUAAGAAGAUUAAACUUAAUAUUUUAUAUUGUUAUUUAGAGAUAUUUAUUUUAAUUAGUAAAUUUUAUUUAUUAUAUUAGUUAGAUUAUUAUAUAAGUUUAAUUAUAGUAGUAGAAUAUGUAAUGUUCCGAACUUCUUAGAAUUUGUAAUCCAACUUUAUAUGAAUAAUAAAGAUUGAAUUAUGCUUCAAAAUUGUAUUAUGUGAUUUCUUAUGUGUUUGAUUUUGUGUUUUGGUUCAUGUAUACAACCUUAAACACUUGUUAAAACCUAGAAUUGAUUAAAUAGAUAAACCUAAGGGUUAAAACCUAAAUACGAAAUCACUAUUCACUAAUACGACAAUAAUACGAUUAUAAUACGAAAUAUUAUGCGAGCAAAAUACAAGAAUAAUACAAUUAUAAUACAAAAAUUAUACGGUAAAAAUACGAAAAAGUCAAAAUCAACGAUUACGGCUAACUAACUAGUUGGAGUAACCGAACUAGGGAAAGAAAACCUAGUUAAACUAAGUAAUAGAGGAGGAUGUAAGCAAUGAUGUCAUGUAGGAUGAUGAAGCAAUGAUGUAAGCAAUAUGUCAUAGAUUGUGUAAAGACUAUUUUACCCCAACUCUUGCUAGCCUAUAAAUAGGAGGCUUUGCAAGCUUAAAUCCUUACCAAUUCACAAAAACAAAGAGUAAUUACUAUAGUGAGAUAAUUAAGAGAAGGAAAGCUAAAGUCUUGCGUCUUUAAGAAACGUAAAUCUUGCACGCUAAGAGGUAGAAUCUUAGUUAUUAUUUUCGAUUCAUGUAUAGUAUAGAAAUAUGCAUAAUCAUAGUAGUUACCAUGCUCAAUUCAAUUUAUGUUUAGAGUAAAUGUAUGAUGAUCCUUAGUUGUUAUCAUGUUCAACUCAAAACAAGUAUAGAGUAGAAAAGAUCAUAAACACUAGUUGUUACCAUGUUUAAAUUAUUUCAAAUAUUCGUGAGUAAAUAUCAUGGAUUUAUGUAUAAGUAGAUUUAUGAUUUUGUUAUUAGAUGUUAUAGAGUAGUAAAACAUUAUGGCUUAGCUUUGCAAUGCUUUUGAGAUCAUGUUUUACUUAGUUAAAACAAGAAAUUAUGAACCAAAUUGUUUUGGGGCUUACACCACCUAUGAAAAUAGUCAUAUAUAUGACUUAUAAAGUUUAAUUAGACAAUAAACUAAUACCCGUAUACACUUAAAAUUGUGUAGGAUUUACAAAUAAGGGUGUAAACGAGUUGAAUCUAAGCGAACAUCCUAAUGCUCAGAUUCGGCUUGGCUUGAAAAAAAUGAGCUCGAAUUCGACUCAGAUUCGAUUAGAAAUUUCUAAUUUUGCACCAGAUUCGACUCGGAUAAUUACUCGGACCUACUCGGCUCGUUUACAAAACGAGUUACUCGUGAGCCUUCAAAUCGAAUUUAGAAUAUGAACCAUUUCAUUUAAUACUGAACCACUACAUACUAAAUUGAUUAUUGAACUAAUAUUUAUAUAUAAAGUUUUUUAUUUUUAUUUAUGUAAAGAAAUUAAAAAAAAUGUAAUACAAAUUGACAAUCAAUUUAUUGAUUUAUUCAAGUACAGGUUUACACAAUUUAAUACUACACUUUAUAAAUUAUAAAGAUUAAUACAAAUAUAACAUAUUUAGCUUGUUAGUAUGGAUCAGACCAAUAUUCGAAUAUGAUCCAUCGAGUAGAUUCGAGUAUGGUUCAAGAAAAAAUGAAAUACUUGAACCCUAAUCUGAGCGAAUACUGGUAUACUCGAAUUCGACUCGUGUAUCAUUAAACAGAAAACAAGUAUGGAUCAGAUUCGACUCGAAUCAAUUUCAAAUUCGAGUUUUGGAUAAUAUUUUCGAUCCGAUCUAGAGUCGAGUACCGAGCUACUCUGCUCGGCAUACACCCCUAUUUACAAAACAAGUUAAGCUUAUUGUUUAACUAUAAAUACGCAUCGAGGCAAGUCUUUUACCCAAAUUUAUAUUGCCAGUUUUAUAUGAUAUUUAUGCACUUUGUGCAACGUGUUAUAAAUUCUUGAAUGAAGUUAUUGCUACUAGUUUUGGAAUAACUUAAGAAAUGAACGUUUAUUCGUGAAGUACUGAAUUGCUAUAAUUCUUUAUAUGAGCUAUUUAGUCAAACCAAAUUGUUUUUGGGCAACCUCUGCAUGUAAAGUAAACUGAGAUGAACCCCCCUAAUUCAUAGGGAUAAAUAUGAUGUGUCGGGUACCUGAUUUAAACAUUGUUCAUGAGUAGUUCAGUGUAGUGUAUGUUAUGCAUAACAAAGGAUGUCGUUAGGUUGAUCCCCUAUAGAUAUCCAUUAUAUGGUUCUAAGUCGAAUGACGAACGAACAUUAGUUCUUGGUUUAAUUACCACUCAACUUUACUAUGUUAAAACAAUUGUUAUAUCUUUUAUUGAGCUAUAAAGCUUUUAAAUUCUCUAUCGGUGUGAGUUCACUUAUAUGCUAUGUGUUUAGACUUGUUGAGCAACUUUGCUCACUCUUGCAAAUAAAUCCCCAUUUGCAGCUAAAGAGGAUAAACCCGAGAGCUCUGGCUCUAAGAAGAAGAGAAAGAAGAAAUGCGCAGACUAGUUUACAUGUAUUAUAUAAUCGCUUGUCAUUUUGUUGUAGUCAUAAUGACUUUUGUAAUACAAACAAGCAAAUCAUGUAACCGAAUCUUAUAUCAAUAAUAUCAUGUUAUUAUCAUCAAAUGUUGUGUAGUUACUUUCACAGAAUUUAGAAUUUUGAAACAUUAAUACAAUAUUGAUACAGAACUAUACAUCUGAAUGAGAAUAUUGAAUAACAUUGUGAGUUCUGUAAGCACAGAGAUUUAGCACCGACAAAGAGAAAUCUUUAUCGCAAGGUUCCUCUGUUCCAAGAACAAGCUUGUUAUUAAUAUUGUGAACUUCAGGUAUAGAAUAAAUAUCAAUAUGAAGAGGUAUCUCUAUAAAGACAUGUACCUAAGUUAGGAUAUUGAAUAAUAUGGGGAGUUCUGUAAGAAAGGGAAUCUUGCCACGGAUAAAGAGCCUAAUAUUUCGCAAGAUUCUUCUGUUCCAAGAAGAAUCCUAUUAUUAAUGCUCUGAACCUUGGAUAUAUAUUAGUAUAGAAUGUCUAAAACUUAAGGUUAAAAUAAGUAAAAGUGAUCACCAGAUUCGUUCUAGCAAGUACAGGGAUUUGGGGGGCAUCACGGAAUAUAAAUACGAGUUGUUUCCUUUUUAAAUUAAGGUUUUUACAUACUCUACAAGUUUUAGGUUUUCCAUAUGAGUAUCAUAAUCCUUCAUUAUUUUUCAAAGUUGAAUAAUUAUCGAUUGAGACUAAAGCUUUGUCUUAUGUACUUAUGUUUAUGUGUGCUUCUACCGGUUCCGCGCGUUGAUAGAUUCUCAAUCAUGAUUCUUCCUCAUCUUAAUCUAUUUUUCUAAACCUGUCCUACAUCACAUUAACAACCGUAAAAAUCACUUCAAAAUUCAGCCCAAAACAAUUAAUUAUCCACGUCGUGCGGUAGGGAUUUUUGCCGAAAAGUCCAUCUAAAAUCCAUAUCAAACCCUUCAUUAGUAUUGAGAAACCACUAGGCUUUGUCUAGCCAGCAAUUCUGAGCAGAUUCAGUCUCGAUUAAUCACUCCAGAAAUCAAUUCUCCUCACCCUGUAGCAACAGUGGGACACAAUCUUUGAAAAAGCACCUUCAAACACCCCAAUAACCUUAUGCUUGAGAUUGAAAUUCCUGAGUUAUUAAAAAAUCAAAAAUAGUGCAGAUUAGGCUAGACAAUAGCGAAACAGCAGCCAAAACCAUACCAGAUUCAUCAUAAAGCCAAAACGAGGCUCAGUUCAGUAGGGUACUACAUAAGCGCAGAACUGAGGUAACACUCAACCAAAUAAGGUCUCAUUUGUUUCCUCGUAAUUGUUUAUCAAACUUUCAUCUGAGAUUCUAAAGAGCCUUUAGAGGAGAUUAGGUUUUGGAUACGCCGAUGGUUUGGUUGUAUCAUUAACGUUUUUGACAUAAAAGCCAUCAUUUAAAUCACGUUACUCCCUCUCCCGAAAUGACUGGAAAUGUGUGCGGAGGAGGGUACAUUUUGUAUGCGAAAUUGAAUUUAGCCCUUUUGGAUGCUUUUAAUUGCUACGAAAAAUUUAGGGUACACAUCAAUUUUUCAGUCAAAUUGUACUGUGAACUAGACUUUAGUCUACAAGUAUAUAGCAAAACUUAAAAAUCAGAGUGAAACUUAUUCAGAAACAUAAAGCAACAAGAAGAACACAUCAAAGCAUUGUUAAUGCUCUUAACAACUGCGCAAAUAGUAGUGUAUACACCAACUUUUUAAUUAAGUAAACAUAGGAUGCGACUUGCAACUCAAUCAUCACAUCUUAAGUAGAAUUGUAAAUUAAAAUUCAAUUCUAAAAUUUGCAAAACAAGUGAAUAGUUCUAUCAAUCAGAAAAUACAGACUUCCUAUUAUAAGUUAGGUGACUAUGAUAGAACACAAUUCAGCUUCUGCGUAAGACCAGGAAUACACGUAACUACGCAAGGUAAGGUGAUUAUCAUAGAACACCAUUCAUCUUCUGUCAACUGGCCAAAGUAUAGUAACCAAUUUUUUGGUUAACUUAAGAUUAAACGUAAGCGUCUUAAGAGAACAUAAGGUAGUAUCAGUUCUAACAAAAACAAGUAAAACAGUAAGUUGCCCAGUUUAUUGUGAUAUAAAGAUUUACGCUAGCCGACUGGUGUUGUAGUCUAAAAUCAAGCAAUUUUCAAAGGAACAUGAGCAACCAAAAGAUAACAACCACACUCCCCACAAAACAAGACGAGGAGUUGCCUACGGAAAAUCUUAGCAAAGAAUUGACAUUAGUCAAAAAGUAAGCUCAAUGGAGUAGUAGGGAUACAGGCAUAGAAAACCUACAAACCAUGAAAGAAAUUAACUGUGAAAACAAAACAUAAUAAGGGUGAACAAUAAAAAAAAACGAGAAAAAAAUUCAAAUUGAAUAAAAAGACAAGUAUCAAUACUUACAGCAACAAGCCAUCUAGCAGGUUCUCCCCGAAAGUAAUAAAUCGACUGAUGCUUGGCUUGAUGUGGACAUCUAACUGCUCAAAGGGAUUGUUUGCAGGUGUCUCUAUGUCAUGCGAAACAACAAGACGGUAACACCUGAUCUCACAAUAGCUAUCAUGUAAACGAUAGAUCAAUAGAACGUAAAACUGAUCACCCUGGGAAGCAAUGGAUGAGCCAUCUGCACGGAGCUCGAUACAAAAAUAAUCCUGCGGAAUAUCGUUUGGGAACUUCCAUUCACUAAAGACAUAGGUCUGGGAGUUUUUUACCCAACAAAAUUUAUCAAACCGAUAGCCAACAAGGUUACCAAAGUCCUCCAUGUAAUAACGUGUCCGUCCGAGCACAAUAGGAGGCUCAUAGGGGAGAACUAAUUUCACGGAGUCUUUUUCUCUCUCCAUCUCCACCAGAGAACCGUCACGUAUAUUAUAAACAUAGGAUGAGAAAUGGGACUUCACAGAUGAAAACACAAGCUCAUAGGGUUCUAAAGGUGUCACGGUAUACCUAAAAUAACCCUCACGGUUGCUAAAAUAAUCAUAGGCAACUGGGGGAUUCAAUACAUCAAAAAGUGGCAAAGACUUCCCUUGAAACUUUACAGAUGACAAAAUCUCCCAGCGGCCAAUUUUCGGAUCAAAAUACUCAACCCAAUUUGUACGAAUUUCAUCAAUCUCAGUAUCCUCAUUCAAGCCGCCUUGAACGUAUAUCUUUCCAUCCAAAACGGCAGAAGAAAAUUGGGUUCUCACCAUAUUCAUGGGAGCUACCUCCUCCCAGUCCGUCGCAUUGAGCUUCGCAGUGUUAUACCUAUACACCUUAUUAGACUGCUUGAAUUCCACCCUUCCCUUCACAUAUAAUGUACCCCCUAAUACAUAUAUAAAGCAUCCUAAUCCAACAACACCAGACGACCUACACUGGUAGGUUUUAGAAAAUGGUUGAAGUAUCUUAGGAGGGGUGGGGUAGUCAGGAAGAUAGAAGUCGUCUGAUCGAGAGUUAGGGUUUGAAGAGCUAUCUUCUCCAAGGGAAAAGGCGUACCAGUGGGUACUUUCUUCAACGGAAGAAGAUUUAUCAAAGUGUGUGCGAAAGUAAACAACAACACCGGUACCUGUUCCGUCGUUCUCCUCGCGUGAUUGAAAUGAAUCCAUAACCGUCGACAAUGAAUGUACCGACAUUACUGAAUCUAGAGCAUCCGAUGCCAAAUUUAUAGCCUCCGAUCCAGGAUCCAUAGCCGAUCGAGUUUCCGGUAAAGUUUGUCCGUCUCUGGAGGAAUUGGUCCUAAUCGAUGCCGAAGUCACAGCCAAUACCGAAUUAAACUCCAGUAUUCGAUGUACAAUUUGUCUAUCUGCGGGAAAAGGUAGAACUUGAGAGAGAGAAGGAGAUUCUGCGGGUCUAGGGUUAAAUUUCGACAUUGCAAACCGACAUUGAGAACACUUCAGGUGCAGCAUUUUGAUCUAUUCUCAAGGGUCAUAUUGGUAUUUCCCUUAAGAACGGUCAACUAUUUAUUUUUGACCUUGAGUUUUAGAUUUUAAAAUCAAAAAAUAUAAAUGAUAUACAUGUAGAUAAAUAUUUGACGAAUUAAAUUGUAACUAAUGUUGCAAGUGUAUGCGAUAAAAUAUAAUAAAUUAAAAUAAGACUCUUCGUAGUUCAUACUUCUAUCAUUAUAUCAAAAUACUUUAAUCGGUACAUGAAAGAAAUAGGCUAAUUUGACUGUUUUUUGUUCAAUUUUUCGUAGAAUAACAUUCUCAUUAGUAAAUUUUUAUAUUUUAAAUACUCUUCCACAUUUAUAAUAUUAAAAAAUUUGAUUAAACAAGAAAAAAUCGAAUACCUAAUUUGGGAAUGCAUAAUAAGUAAUCUUUUUUAAUCAAAAAAAUCAAAAAACUGGUAACAAUUUUUUUAAUACAAAAAUAGCUUAUAAAAUAACGUGGGAGAGUUUAAUUAAUUGAUUAUGCACCAAAAACGAGUGGACAUAGUAAUAAUAACUCGUUACAAUCAAUCACAUCUUUUUGUAUACAUCUUGAGUAACUAUUUUUUAAAUGAAUUGAUAUUUUUACAACUAAAAGUGAUAGUUUCACAAGUUCUUUCUAAUUUAAAUAGUAACUGAGUCUCACAUUUAUGUGUAAAAGACUUUAUGAAAAUAUUAAUUUUUACUUGUUUAGAAUAGAUUCGGCGAAUGGACAAAAUUUGGACAAGUUAAUUUAAUUGGAUAUUAAAAUUGUAUCAUCGAAAUCGUUUCAUUUUUUCAAGUAACCAAUUUACCUAAACAAGUAUUCGCUGAGGUACACUCAAUUUGAUUUUUUUUCAUAUUAUGAAAUAAAAUGACCUCCACGCAUAUCGACACUGUUGGGUCAUGUUUAUUUGGGCUCGGAUAAUAUGGUGGGCCAUAGUCCACAUGAAGGAAGUCUCCCCACGUAAGAAUCUUUUUUGGGCAGUGGGAGAAUUUUAAGGAAUUUAAGAUUCUUAAUUAUAUUUGAUUUCCAACUCCUAAAGAAAGUGUUAGGAUAUAAUCCGACUUCCUUUCUUUAAGGAGAUUCAGUUUAAUCUCAUUAAGGUAUAUAUCAUAAUGAGGAAUUCUAUUUCCAUAUGGGGACGGGCAUGAAGUUGGUGGUGUGGUCACUUUAAAUAGGUACACGAUAUCUUAUUGUUUUUCCUACAUUAAAGUUUAAGUCUCCAUUGUUAAACCUUGUUCAGCUUGUACUUAUUCUCACACCGGAGUUAUCCCCCCGCGACCCAAGCCGUCAAGUUUUCUCCGUGUGAUUUUGUUUCUGUGCAGGAUUGGAGGCGCUAUUUGGUGAUUGGGCGCGUAGACGAAUCUUGGCGUUAAUAUUAGCGCUAAAAGGAGGGUCAUUUAGUGCUAAGUAAUUUUCAAUCACCUAGAAGUUUGAUCAGGAAUAAUGGCGACAAGUAAGACAGUUUUAAGACGUGGGAAGUCAACUGUCAAUCCAUAGGCUCAACCCAAAGGUUCAACCAAUAAUCGGUUAGGGUCAUCCGAUCAGGUAGAGGACAACAGUCAUUUAGUGGGACCAAGGAAUAUUCACUUAGUCCCCAUCAAGCGUCAGUUGUUUUCAACGGCGAGGAAAGAAGCGGGUCUUAAUAAUCGUGUCGAGGAUAUCCCAUCCCGAACACGUACACAACAAGAUCGAAAUUCUAGGCGAGAUAGUCAGGACGUGUAAUACUCGGGAUUUUUCUAAUAUUAUUAAAUAAAUAUAUUAAUGAAAAUGAGAAUUUAUUUGAAUAUAAAUGAUUUUGUGUUAUGAGAUGAGUUAAUUCAAUUAUAUUAAAUUGAAUAAUUAUAAUAAUUGAGGAAAUGUGGAGUUUGCGAUAAACUCGUGAAAGCCUUGUGUGACACUGUGAUGAGAAAUGUUAAUAAUGAGAUAUAUUAAUUAACGAAAGAUUUAUUAAGUGAACAAUUAAUUAAUUGUUAAUUGUUACCGUAGAAUAUUAAUUGAUAAUGUGGGGAUUAUUAUUAUUGCAAGUAAUAUAAUAAUAAUAAGCAACGUGUUCAUAAAUAUAAUAAGAUCCAUACUCAUGUGAUAUUUAAUCGUGUAAGUAUUAAUCUAUUAUUGUGAAUAUUAAUAAUUGUAUGGAUUAAUGAAAAACGAAUUAAUUAACAUUAUUAUUAAUUAAUUGAUGAGAUAAGUAAAGUAUUUACUUCUAUGUGUGAGCAUACAAAUUAAAAAGUAUAAAGUAUAGUAACUAACUAUAUAUUAUGAUGUGACUAUGUUAUAUAAAUUACAUAGUAAGGUUUAUUGAAUUAUAUGAGCUACUUGGGAAUUGCCUAUGUGACAAGGAGAAUGUGUGGACAUUAAGAUAAAUGUAGGUAUUAAUCGGUUUGGGCUUCCAGAUUGGGCUUCUUGUUUUAGAAUGCCUUGCUAUUUUGAAUUUCAUAUCAUUUGGGCCUUGGGUAAUUCUAUUAUUUGAUGGUUAUUCACAUUCUUUCAUUAAACAUUUUGUUUAAUAAAAGAAUAGGGGACAAUGUUGGACCAUAAUACUUUAGACACAAUGGGCUUGGGUCUUGAAAGUAAUGGGCCGGUUCAUUGGGCUGACCCAUGAAGUGAAUAAUAUAUUUGGCUAGGCUUUGACCGGUAAUGAUGAUAUAGAUCAACUUUGACUAUUAUCCUGUCAUGCAUUAAUGAGGAUGAGACAUGGCCUAGUCGGCGGUGAACUGUGAAGGGAUUAUCCGGUGAAGUGCGUGCAUGGGACUGACAGGAGGGCAGGUCGGUGGCAUGCAAGACAAAAGGAUAGUAUAUUUAGCAGAGGAUAACAACAAAGAAGGUAACGGAUACAUUUUAUUAUCAAAACACUAGAGCUAAACACCUCCAUUGUUAUCCUUAAAUCUGCCUGUAUUGAUUCUCACGCCGGAGCUAUCCCUCGACGGUCCAAGCCGUCAAGCUUCUGGUAUUGACCUGUUUACUGUGCAGAAUAAAAUGCGUUUUAUGUGAUUGAGACGUGCGGAAAGAUUUUGGCGUUAACACUUGACAACCCACCCUUUCUUCCUUAAUCUACAGAUUUUCCCUCACAAGCUCUCUCAAUUUCCUCUCUAUACAAACUUUGUUUUUCUUUUCCUCACCAAGCCUUGAAAACAAAGUACGUGAAAAAAAUACAAAAGGCUGACACAUAUAAUGUGUAGAAUUAAAACACCCAUCAGUUAAAAACACAAAAGGUUUAUCAGUUAAAAAUCCCAAACUUCAUAAGGCCAUGUUUGGUAAAAGUCUUUUCCUCCAAAACCAAUUUAUUUAAACUAACCACUUACCAUAUCGUUGAAUAUGGUCACAUGUCACACCUUUCAAUUAUUUAAAUUUUUUUUAAAUAUUUAAAUUAACAUAACACACUAAUUUAACAAAUAAAUUACUAUUCUAAUUUAAUAAUUAAACUAAACUAGAAUAUUAACAUUAUAAUUAUCAACAACUCACAUAAUCUAAUUAACUCAUUUAAUCAAAUUAUAAAAUUACCAACAUAAGUUUAAUUAAACCACAUCUAAUUAAAUUAAUGCACAACAAUUUAUUUAACUCAAGAAGUAAAUCAAUUAAAAUAUUUAUUCAAUUACAAUAAAUAUUUUAAAUAAUACAAAAUUCCAGAUUGUUACAGUAAUUAUCACUAUGGACGGUUUUAUCUAGUAUCGUAUAGUUCAUUAUUUAAUCAAAUAAAUUAUAUUUUAUUAUUUAUAAAAUCAUUUGAUGAUAGAUUAUAAUCUUGAGUUAAAUAUUGUCCUCACUCGACACAAUUUUGUCACAACAUAUCAUUGGGUCGUCUUUAUCCUUGUAUAAUACUAUCUUCGUUCGACUUUUAACAAUUAAUUUAAUAUAUUUUUAAAUUCAAAAUUGAGAUGAUUCGUCAAAUUUUAUAAAAUAAUAAUCUUAUAAUAAGUAGUAUUUUUAGAUGAUUUGUAAAUGUUAAUAUUCUAUAAUUUUAUUAGUGAACAAUAUUUUUAGAUAGUUUGCAAACAUCUUAUAAUUAGUAAUAUCUUUAAAUAGUUUAUAAAUUUCCAUCAUAAUUCUUUAUUAAGCUUUUCCCUCCUUUUCUUUGAAAAAAUAUACUCACUCUCGCUAUUGAGUAUUUACUCCUUCCGUCCUCAAAUAGAUGUCCAAAGUGCGUUUUGCACACAAAUUAAGAAAAAUAAAAUAUAAGAAAGACAGUAGAAUUACAAAUUUAUCAUUAGUGAUCCCACAAAAUUAAAAUAAGUAAUGAAUUUUUUAUUUUUAUUUUUAUAUACUAGCUAGUGAAGUCCACUAAAUGAUAUAUUUACUUAUUUAUGUACUUAUUGUCAUCUUUUAAAAAUAAAAAAUAAAAAAUAUACUUUAAAUCAUUUUUUAAAAGAAUGGGGGAGUAUCUUUUUAUCACGUCAAAGACACAUGUACAUCAAAUACUAUAAUGGUGAUAACACUCCUUUUAAAAAUAUUAAUUGUUGCAUUCUAUUGUUUCAAACUUAUAGCUAUUGAAGGCUAUAAUCCAUGACCUGAGUUCUUGUUAGAGAACUAAUGUCCGAGUCUAUGUAUGCUCGAGUGUACUAUAAGAUCGGGCGGUAGUCAACUUGUUAAACUUCUUUCUAAUUUAAAUUUGUUUUAUUUGCUUGCCAACAAUAAUCUGAUAUUUUUUGAUUUUAAAGUUUCGUUUCCUUUUACUUUUGGUGGUUGCUUCUUCUUUGGGUGACUUUAGUUUGUCCUUAAUUGGUCACAUAAUAGGAGGCAGGCUUGGUCUAUUUAGAAUAGUUUAUUAUCUAAUUGACUUACCUCAUGAGUCAUGAGUUACAUACCAAAUAGGAUGCAAAUUUAAUUAUUAUUCACCCUCAAGUUCAAAAUAAAGUUUUAUUUAUAAAAAUUGUAAUAUGAAGGAUGUAAUUUAAUUCAUAUGAAUUCUUAAAUAUAGUAACUUAAUUUGUUAAUUGAAUGAUGGAAUUAUUAAAACUGAAUGAUGGAAAUCAUGUCGUUGGCAUGUACAAUCUUUAAUUGGUCAUUGACCCACACUGAAAAAUUCCCUUAGGAUUGAAGAUUUUAGUGCAUGACAAUCAAGAGAGAAUUAAUUUGACUUGAUAUUUUCAUAAGUAAAUUUAAUAGUUAUACAAGUUCCUUCCAUAUGAAUAGUAAAUGAGUUUACCUUCAUGUGAGAGAGUAGUAUGUAGAACUACCAAUUUUAUUUGUAAAAAUAUAAUUUCAUAUAUAUAUAUAUGUGUUCGGGUACAAUCCACCGACCCCUACAUGGACUGAAGGCCUGGACCGAGAUGGGAUCAUCGAACCCAGUGGGUCAAAGCCAUAACUGAAGAAACUAAGAUCAGCAUCGGGUAUCAGAGCCCUUCGGGCCUGAACCCAGACCCGACCAAUAAUGUAUGGAUCGAGUAUCCGAGUCCAUCGGACCGGAACCCAGACCAGCAUUAGGAUGUUCGGGGUCGGACUACCGAGCCCCUCGGGCCGGAGUCUAGACCGAACGAAGGAUGAUUGGGAUCGGGCUACUGAGCCCUUCGGGCCGAAGACCAGACCACAUUAUAAAGCCCAUAUCGAAGGUUAUCUUUCGGAUGGAAUCUGAAGGAAUAAGGAGUCUAGACGAUUACGGGUCCUAACCCUAAUCGUAUCUACCUACCAACUCUUAUAAGGCAAGUAGUUGGAUAACAGCCAACUUGCACUUUAGAGGAGAUUGGGUUGGACCCAAACAUUGAUAACUGCCAUGUUUAGGAGUCCUAAUUUGACUAGGGUAUGGACUCUAGAGGCGGUGGGAAUGAUUAUAAAUACAAGGCUUGACCUAAUGGUAACAGGUAAUACCUACUUGAGCACUAAAUACUAUUACCUCCAUUGUUAAACCUUGUGACCAGCCUGUACUUAUUCUCACACCGGAGCUAUCCCCCGGCGGCCCAAGCCGUCAAGCUUCGUUGUGACUGUUACUGUGCAGGUUUAGCACGUGAAUUUGGUGAUUGGACGCGCCGGCAAAACAUGGCGUUAACAUUGGCGCUAGAAGGAGGGCUUUUAGUGUUUAAAACAAUCACUCGUGCACUUUUCCGGUAGACAGACAUGGCUAGUAAGGACGGUGGAGCUUUUACCCAGGAAAAGGCCAGGACUCACCCGACGACCUUGGGAAAGGCGUCGGUUAAAGACCGAUUGGGACCGAGCAACCACGACGAAGAUUCGAUGCAGGCCUCGUCGGCACGAAAGCAGUUAUUCAUCCCCAAUCAGUCUACUCCGGCACCCAGCACACUCACGUAGAAGACAACCAGUCUCAGGCCUACCGAAGACGGGAUAAGGAUCGGAUGGAAGAUAGUGGGGACCAACGUCAAUUCAUCCUGUUGACAAAAAUCCAACAGAAUAAGGAUGCUAUGUUGGCCCUACGUCUCCAACAAGAGGAACUGGAGUUGCAGAUGGCUAAGGUGGCUGGGGAACAGGAGGCCUCUUCGAAGAGGCAUAGACAUCGGAGCCGACACAGAAGUCAUUCUCGGGAGAGGAGAAGCCGAAGGAGGAGUCGUUCCCCUGAACGAAGAUCAAAGCAUCCAGGUCGAUCGGGACAGAGGACGAGGAUCGGAUCUCCGGAGAGGGACAGGCACAAGCACUCCCCCCGUAAAGAAAAGACCGACCCCCUCGCCCGACGAGUUGCAGAAUUGGAAAAGCUCCUAGCUUCAAAAGGGCAAUCGGGAACGCCCUCAAGCUGUCAUAGCUCCCCCUUCUCACCCGAGAUCAAUCAGGUCAUUGCUGACCCGAAGAAGAAAAUGCCCCCGAUGGAGACCUAUGAUGGAAUGGGGGACCCGUAUGAUCAUUCCGACGGGUAUGACAGAUUGAUGACCUACUACGGACAUUUGGACGUAGCGAAGUGUCACAUGUUCGCAACCACCCUGAAGAAGAGUGCCAGAUAAUGGAUAGGAACUUUGGCACCAAGGUCUAUCACUUCAUGGAACGACCUUCGGGAGAAGUUCCAUGCCAGGUUCGGGAGCAACAGGAGAAGGGGUAAAAUUACAGCUUCUCUCAUGCAGGUAAAACAACAUUCAGACGAGACUCUCGGCGCCUAUGUCAAGAGAUUUCGGGAAGCCGUGGGAUCGGUGGCAGAGCUAAAUUCACCUCAGGCUUUGGGAUUUUUUACCACAGGUCUGGACAUCGGCAGAUCGAAGAAACUGAUGAAAGACCUUGUGAUCAACCCUCCUUCGGACCUGACCGAAGCCUUUUAUCGGGCCGAAGGGUUCAUUGAGGUCAAAGAAGCCAUGGGAAAUUUCAAGCCACGGUCACAUGAUAAAUCUAAAGACAGAGACAAGCAGAACACCCCACAGUCGAAUAACAACCAGGGGAGAUCGGGUUAUCAGGGGAAGAAACAUUAUAACGGUGGCUCGGGCAGUGGCCGACCACCCAUUCAACACAAAAGUAUUAACAAGGUCUACACUCCCCUUAAUACUGAUCGGGCUAGAAUUUUGGAGGACAUCAAGGACAAGCCUUUCUAUGAGCCCUGCAAGACGAGGCCGAAGCCUGGGAGGCGAAGCAAAAACAGGUACUGUAAUUAUCAUCAGAAUGCCGACCAUUCAACGGAGGAAUGUCUGGACCUGGGAGAUCUGAUAGAGAAGAACAUACAGAACGGAACCUUGGUGCAAUAUAUGGUCGGUAGGGAGAAUACCGAACCACCGCCAAGGGAAGAAGACAUGUAUCAAGCCCGGGAAGCCCAGCCAAAUCAGAACCAGCCUGCCCGGGGGGUGAUUGAUGUUAUUUCAGGUGGCUCGGUAGGGCGUGUAACCGGGCGGAAGAGAAGUGAACAUCUGGAAGCAAUGCUAUCGGUGACAGGAUCAUCGGUGAAAAAAGACAGGGCCUUCUUGGGGACAGUUAUUUCUUUUUCAGACGAGGACUAUUCGUCGAGCCCCAUAGAAUCUCAUGACGGGGCACUGGUGAUAACAGCUCAGGUCGGGCCAGUGGAUAUGAAGUGGAUGAUGAUAGACAACAGAUACUCGGUCGACAUAUUAUACAUACAUGCCUAUCAGAGGAUGGAUACGGAGGGACAGAAGAUGGAGCUGGGAGGAGAAGGGCCCUUGUAUGGGUUCAGUGGUGACCCGGUGCAUGUAUCGGGCACAAUUGAGCUACCAGUCAGGUUCGGAACAGCUCCACAUCAAAGGGAGGUCAUGGUCAGAUUCUUCGUGGUCCAGGUGGAUUCGGUUUAUAAAGCGAUACUGGGAAGACCGACCCUGGCCGCCUUGCAAGCAGUCACAUCCAUACCUCACUUCAAGAUCAAGUUUCCGACACAAAAUGGGAUCGGGGAGGUAAAAGGAGAUUUAGACAUUGCCCGAAAGUGCUAUCGGACUACCUUGAUGUCUUCAGGGAUCGGGGUGAGCAAACAUAAACAGACGAUGGCCAUUGAAAUAGAGCCAUUCACUGAAGGUAGUACGGAGCCACUCGCCCUACUAGCCGAAGAGACGGUGGAUAUCCAACUGAUCCCGGGGAACAAGGAUAAAUUAAUAAAGAUAGGGCCGGGACUAACAGAACCCUUCCGGACUGGGCUGAUAGAUCUGCUUCGGGCAUGCAAAUAUCUUCGCUUGGACACCCAGUGAUGCCCGGGGUAGAUAAAUCAGUUGCAAUACACCGGUUGGAGGUAGAUCCCAACAAGAAGCCCGUCAUACAGAAAAGGAGGACUUUUGCCCCAGAGAGGCAAAAAAAUUAUUGAUGAGGAAAUUGCUAAAUUACUGGAGGCAGACUUCAUCUUUGAGAUCGACUACCCGGAGUGGUUGGCUAACGUGGUAUUGGUUCAGAAACAGAAUGGAAAGUGGAGGACAUGCAUCGAUUAUACAGAUCCGAACAAAGCUUGCCCGAAGGAUUUCUACCCUCUACCCAACAUCGACCAGCUGAUUGACGCCACUUCGGGAUUCGGCAUACUCAGUUUCAUGGACACUUUUUUGGGGUAUCAUCAAAUCUCGAUGGCCAAGGAAGAUAUCCCGAAGACUAGCUUCAUAACUCAUCGGGCCAUUUAUGCUUACAGAAAAAUGACAUUCGGAUUACUUAAUGCAGGGGCCACUUAUCAACGGAUGAUGAACUAUGUGUUUACGAAAUAGCUAGGCCGAAGCAUGGAGGUCUACGUAGAUGACAUGAUUGUCAAAAGUAUGUCAGUCCAAGAUCAUUUGGCGGACCUGGAGAACUGCUUCGAAACGGUUAGGAAACAUAAGCUUCGUCUGAACCCAACAAAGUGCACCUUCGGAUUGGGAUCGGGAAAGUUUAUGGGUUAUCUGAUAAGCAAAAGAGGAAUCGAGGCAAAUCCAGAAAAAAUUCAGGCUAUACUAGACAUGAAAUCCCCGAAGUCUUAUAAAGAUGUACAGAGGUUAACAGGUCGGAUAGUAGCACUUCGGAGGUUCGUGUCAAAAUCAACAGAAAGAUGUCUAUCAUUCUUCGACACUCUAAAGGGGCCAAAGAAUGGACCUCUGAGUGCGAAGAUGCAUUCCAAGGGAUCAAGCAAUACUUGUCUUCGGCACCUCUGCUGAUGAAACCGAUCCCUUCGGAACCAUUAUACCUAUACUUAGCAGCAAGCUCGAUGGCAGUGGGGGCAGCGCUGGUACGGGAAAAGGGGGGAAAGCAGUUUCCGGUCUACUAUGUCAGCCACGUUCUUCGAGAGGCCGAAACCAGAUACCCGAACCUGGAAAAGUUUGCCUACGCUCUGAUCAUCGCAAGUCGAAAGCUUCAGCAUUAUUUCUAGGGACGGCUAAUGAUAAUCUACACAGAACAACCAUUGAAGAAAAUACUACAUAGGCCCGAAGUCUCGGGUAGGCUGGCCGCAUGGCAAUGAAACUGACUAAGUGGAUAUACGAGUUCGGCACAAGUUGUGCGAACCCGAUCCCCACGAAGCAGAGAAAGGAUACUAUGAACUCAUGAAGAGGGAAUCGGACCCCAUACUUCAGAGCAUAGGUAGGGAUGGCCACCCACUUGCCCUCGGGGCGCCAGUACAUCCUCUCUUCGGGCUUUGGCACCCGAAGCUUGUAUUCUCGGAGAAUGUUGAAAAGCUCCCGAGCGUCAGAAAGUUGGGCGGGGGUGAUGGUGGAUUUGGUAUUGAUAUGAGAGAAGUUCUCCUCGGAGGAGUAGCACUGACGGAUCUGGGCCUCGGUGCCGUCAGUAGUGGCACCGGUCGGACCGACUGGCAAAUCGACCGGCACUAAGUCGGUACUGGCGAUUGUGACGGUGGAGGCUACUCCGACAGGAAUGGAGGUAGUCUCAAGGAUGAGAACGAUGUCGGAGGUAGGGACGGAGGGAAAUGAGCUAGAUUCAGCCAUGGAAACAGACGAAAUGAGUUAAUUUGAAAAAAAAGAGAAGAAUCAGAGUAAGGUUUUAGCUCGCCGAAAAUUGCCUUUGCCGGAAAAUUGGAAUUAGAGUGUUUGAAAAAUAAAGGCUCGUAAAAGGGGGAAGUAAGGGAGGAUGGGGGUAUUUAUAGGGACAUAUGCACGAAUGCCAAGAGGCGGCUAAUCAUAACUUUGGGACCGUUCAUUUCUUGUGUAACGUGCACUGCAUUUAUUAAGUCGGUUGGAUUACCUAGGCGUCUCUUCAACUCUCUCAUUAAAUAUCCCAUUAAUAUCUAUUAUAAUGAGAGACUGGGGGGCAAUGUUCGGGUACAAUCCACCGACCCCUACAUGGACUGAAGGCCUGGGCCGAGAUGGGAUCAUCGAGCCCAGUGGGUCAAAGCCAUAACUGAAGAAACUAAGAUCAGGAUCGGGUAUCAGAGCCCUUCGGGCCUGAACCCAGACCCGACCAAUAAUGUAUGGAUCGAGUAUCUGAGUCCAUCGGACCGGAACCCAGACCAGCAUGAGGAUGUUCGGGGUCGGACUAUCGAGCCACUCGGGCCGGAGUCUAGACCGAACGAAGGAUGAUUGGGGUCGGGCUACUGAGCCCUUCGGGCCGGAGACCAGACCACAUUAUAAAGCCUAUAUCGAAGGUUAUCUUUCGGAUGGAAUCUGAAGAAAUAAGGAGUCUAGACGAUUACGGGUCCUAACCCUAAUCGUAUCUACCUACCAACUCUUAUAAGGCAAGUAGUUGGAUAACAACCAACUUGCAUUUUAGAGGAGAUUGGGUUGGACCCAAACAUUGAUAACUGCCAUGUUUAGGAGUCCUAAUUCGACUGGGGUAUGGACUCUAGAGGCGGUGAAAAUGAUUAUAAAUACAAGGCUUGACCUAAUGGUAACAGGUAAUACCUACUUGAGCACUAAAUACUAUUGCCUUCAUUGUUAAACCUUGUGACCAGUCUGUACUUAUUCUCACACCGGAGCUAUCCCCCGGCGGUCCAGGCCGUCAAGCUUCGUUACUGUUACUGUGCAGGUUUAGCGCGUGGAUUUAGUGAUUGGACGCGCCGACAAAACUUGGCGUUAACAUGGAUAUAUAUAUGUGUGUGUGUGUGUAAUGCAUAUAUGUACGGCAUUCUUUCUUGUUCUUUGCGGUUUCUUUUUAGAGGCUCUAAUUAUUUUUUGGCUGAGAGUAAGACGUGACUAAAAGUAACGAUAUACUGUAAUUUUUUGUAGAAAGUUUUACUCACAUUAUAUUAUAGGGAAUAGUGCUCACUGCUCAUAGGCCACCUUUAAUUUCAAUUCAUUGUGGUUAUAAUUAUGUAAAAUCACUGUGUUACAUGAUGACAUGCAUGCAGGCAUUAUGUGCAGGAUCACAAUGAAUAAUAUACUUAAUUAUUUAUUUAUUUUCAUGCAAUCUUUCUUGGGAAUAAUUAGUAAACAUGAAAGAGAAAAUCAACUCUUGUCUAGCUAAUUAAGGGAAUAUUAUAUAUGUUAUUCGAGAGAAUUCGCAUGGGUAAAAAGUGAGGAUGGAUUUGAUUAAAUAGUGGGUGUUAAGGCUAAAUCAAAAGGGUUAACAUGAUUAAUCAAAGUUGGGACCUAAUUACCUAGAUAAUUAAUAGGAAAGAAGGCCUUUAUCUAUAAUCCUCUUUUAGUUGAUACAUUACCAUCAUUUUGAAAAUCUAACAUUUCAAAUAUUGAAGUUUCAAACUGUUGCAUUCUUUGCUCUCAUUACGCCAAAAAAAAAUUUGAAAUUUCCUCACACGCUCUUUUUUUAGUUAUUUAUUUUUCAAUUUGUUGAUGUGCUUAGAUUCUAGUUCAAUUUAAGACGAUUAAAUGCCUAAAUAUAUGUGAUGUGUUCUUAAAUGGUUAAAUAUUCCUUUAAGAAAAUUACCUCAAAAAAAAAGAAGAAGCGUUUGCUUACACAUUUUGCUCCUGAGUUUUUUGAGAACAGAAAAGGACAGAGAAGGAAAAAAAAUUCUCCAAUAUGAACAUUUUGAGAAAUUGAUCACAAACCUGUACAAUAUUUGAAAGUAUCAAAAAUAUCUUAUAAUAAUUUAGUAAACAUAUUCUCAAAAAGGUAAAAUAUUAAUGUACUAUUUUAAAUUAACUUUUCCAUCCAAAACACAUAAAAGAAAAUAAUUUACUCUCUUUUAUCUUAUCUCAUUAAUUUUAAAUUUUCUUUUUCUUUUUUUUUCUUUUGCUUCUCACACUCACAAAACACACUGAAGAGAAAUUAUCAUUUCAUUUGAGAGUACUAUAUUUCAUAAAAUUUUACCUCCAAAAUCUCAAACGCUUAAACAGCCCACCACAAUCUUUUACCAAGACUUCUGUUUCAAAACCUCUAAACGCCGUUAAUUUUUACACGGCACCCUCUAUAUAUGUAUAUUUGUAUAUCUGUAGCAGACACAAACGCCCCAACUCACAAGCACAGCAACUGCAGAAGAGAUCAAAGCGAAAAUUCGUAAGAAUUCUCUUCCAUUUUCGUCAAAACUUUCAGUAGCACUUGAUCUGUCCUGCGUUCAUUCAUUAUAAUGUACUUUAAUUUAUUCAUUCGUGCAUAGAUCUAUGUACCCUUUUUAUCUCUUGGCAAUUUAGUUGUUUGUUGAUUUUUUGCAUAUUUUGGUGAAUAUGUGUCGGUGUCUAAGUUUUGAUUCGGAAAAAGGUUUUGUUUUCCCCCUUUUUGGGGCUAAAUGUUAGGUUAAGUAAUUGUUGGGUUGAUGUCGAAAUGUCGGUACGAAAAACAAAUGAAGCUCAUAAUCUUACAUGGGGGAUGAUGGGUUUUGUUUUAUUAGCAAAAAGAUGAGGGAAAGUUGCAAUCUUGAGUGGGAGAAAUUAUUGACUGUGAUAAUUUGAUUGAGGAUGGGAAUUUUCAUGUUAUGGUUAAUAAGAAAUAGUUAAUCACCAUAUUCAGUACAUUAUUCAGCAACCAAACUGUGGAGAUGGUGUAUUUAGUUAUUGAUAGCCAACCUCAAGCACCCUAUAUUCAUUGUGUGCUAAUAUUGCUAACUGAGUAACAAUGUACAUUAAGAAUAUCGUGAUUUCCGUCUUUAUUUGCUCUCAAAAGAAUCAGUUUGAAGUCCCCCCCCCCAAUCCCAGCCAACCCCAAAUUUCUAUGUCUAUAUAUUAUUAUGUGGAUGCUUUUGUUUUGAAUAGGUUAGUUACCUCAGCAUCAUUUAUAUAAUAAAUUAAGGGAACAUAGAUUCGAAAUAUUAGGAGGAAAUGAGAGUAGACUUAUCUGAUUGUGAUUAAACUGACUUAUCUUUAGUUGUUAUUCAUUUGGUUUUUCCUGUAUUUUUCUUCUUCUGUGAUGUUUUGUCUCUUCGCCAAGUUGUGUUUGGGUAUGCUCAGAGUGCAGCUCAUUUCCGUUAUGGUGUUAUUUAAAUUCAUUUUAACACAAGGAAAUAAAUUUCCUGGAAACUAAACAUUUGGAUGUCUGGUAGGAAUUUGGUCCCCGAUAAACACCCAAAUUAAGCUAUUUUGAUGUAGUGGUAAUAUAUCUGCUUCUUAUGUGCAGCAAAAUGGGAAUGGAAGUUACUGAUAUUUGUAUGGACAAGGAGCCUGACCAUGUCGUUUAUUCAAAUAGUGUUUCCAAUGAUUCAAAUCACGAAACUAUCGGACAGUAUGAUGAUCUUGACUCACGUGAGAAUAUCAACGGAGAUCCAGAACCUAAAUUACUGAAAGAGAAUACCGAAGUUAACGAGUUUGUUGUGAAGGAAUGCUCAGCUGAAGACUCAGUUGAGAUUUCUAAAGCUUUUCAAGUUGAAGAGAAGAAGGUACAAGAUGUACUGAGCUUAAAAUGCAAGUCCGGCUUGCUGGAGGAGAAGAAGAAAUCUGAAACAGAAAAUCCAGAGGAUAAUAGUAAGAAAUCUGAAACCGAAAAUCCAGAGGAUAAUAGCAAGAAAUCAGGAUUUUUCCUGAAACCUGCAACCAAAUCUAUUGCUGGAAACGUUAAGACGAAGUACACUGUUCCACAGCCAUUUGUUCUGGCAACUGAAAAGCGUGCUCUAUGUGGAACUCGUCCUACUGGACCUGAAACUGAUGCUGUUACUCCUGUGAGUAAAUCAUCUCGUGCAAACAGUUUGUAUACCCCAGUUUCUAAGAAGCAGAAUGAGGUAAAACCCUCUACCAAAGCCUAGAUUAAAAUGCUUUAAUCUUUCUUUCUGUUCUUUUGCAUUUAUUUUUGUGCUUCACAGAUUUAAUUAUACUAGAGUGUGUUUUUUACUAGAUGGUCUGUUUAUAUAUGUUAAAGUUGUAGGGCCUGUAUGGUGGACGUUAACAUGUUCACUCCUGCACUUACAGGAGCCAGUAAAACUAGUACUUACCAAUUGAUUUUAAGCAAAAAAUGAGCUGUCCCUUAAUGUUUAUUCAUUCUUCCUCACUUGUUUAUAUUGCAGAACUUCUCAAAAGUCAAAACUGGAGCUAACUUUGGAACUUGUUGCACAGCUUUUAGUGUUAUGUUUAUUAGAUGUCUGUCUAUUUCUGAACGCUGACCAGUUAGAUUUUCUCGUUUCCUGGCAGCUAGUCUCACCCUUGGUAGCACGGAAGCCAUUGCAGCAUAAUAACAAGAAGCAUCGUGAUGAAGAUGACUCUUGUUCUGUUGCUUCCUCGUAUCCUUUUUCUGCCAUGACUCUCAGAUUCUUGUGCUUGUAUCGUCCUUUCAUUUCCUUUUUGUCCCUUUGAGUUUGCUAAGCCAUUCUUAACCAUGCAAAGUAUAGCUGCAUCAAUAAGGACUAUUAAGCCCAGGACAACAUCUGCGUCAGCUCCAGUGUUCAGGUGUACUACACGUGCAGAGAGACGGAGGGAGGUAGCAUUUCAUCAAUUUCCUGCAUGUGAAAUUUGUUUAAAUCCUACUUCAGUGAGUUUGUCUAAAGUUGGACCAGAAUGAAAAACUGUUUUCCGGUUCUUCAUUUUGCUUCUUAUCAUUUAUUAGUUUUACACAAAAUUGGAGGAAAAGUACCAAGCACUGGAGGCCGAGAAAACUCAGUGGGAAGCAAGGACCAAGGUACCUCAUCACAUUUCUCUUUCUAUGUUUUAUCUCUUUUGUUGGUAAAUAAGGAGCUCCAUUCCCGUUCCGCAGACUGCAGAUAUAAAUUAUCUUUUCAGUAAUUCUCUCUUCCACUGUUUACAUCUUAUUCUUCAAUACAUUUGCUUGCCUGAGAUAGAUAUUUAUCUUCUUUCGCUAAUCGAUCUUUUAGGAAGAGAGAGAAGCAGCUGUCAAGCAACUACGAAAGAGUUUGACGUUUAAGGCAAACCCAAUGCCAAGCUUCUAUCACAAUGGACCACCACCAAAAGUUGAAUUGAAAAAGGUACCCUAGAUAUCCUUCUUCUCAUGCUUUAUUUACAAGAAAGCUUUCUUGGAUGUCAUUUGAGUGUAAAGUUCCCAUAUUUGCAGAAAAGAGAAGUAACAUUGAUGUUAAAUUGUUAAUUAGAAGCAAAAAUCUGCUUACCCAAAAAUUUAUUUGUCAAGUUGACGGAUCUUUACAUGUACCAAGUGCAAUCUAGAAUUUUAAAAACUGGCUUGCUUGAAUGUCAGCCACCACCAACUCGCGCAAAAUCACCAAAGCUGGGCAGAAGGAAGAGCUGCAGUGAUGCAGCUGGUUUAGAGAAAGGGAUAGGAGUCUGUGGUCGAGGAACUCGUCACAGUCUCGGAAAUUACAAAGAUAGUGCUACAAUUGAUAACACAGACACGAAGGAUCACAACAAUAUCCAGAAUGGUAAUGCUACUUACAAAGUCAUGUCCAAACAAAUGAAAUGAGCGAUGAAUGAGUCUACUUCGCCAAGGAAUAUGGACAUGGAUGUUCAGUUCUAAGUUUCUGGUGAGUUUUUUAAUUUAAGAGGGAGAAGAAGUUUCUCUUGUUUUUAUUGUGGCUGCUUUAAAAGGAAUGCAUGUUUGAUUUCAUGAACCUGCAAGGACUUGUUGCAGUGGUUUGUGUAAUGUUAAUGUAUGUGUAAAUUAUUUGUAAGUUAUGCUGGUACCUAUGGAUGUGGAGUUCUUGUCUUGUUGUAAAUCUGAUGUUUGAAGAGGCUAAACUUCUCAUAGGUGAUUUGCAUUGUAUUCUCUUUUAUCAUAUUUAUAAAGGUGGCAAUUUGGAGAUCUGACUUGCAACAUUUUUGUCUUAUCAAAUAGCAUCUUUGGCUUAGACAACUUACAUUAAAGUUUUUAACUUCAUUAUUGGGUUUUUUGUGAAUCCUAAUAUGCAACUAAUGCAAGCAUUUGAAUCUCUCAAGUACAAACAUACCCUGUUCAUUAUUUGUUCAAAUGUGUUUAGUAGCUCCCAAUCAAAUUCAGUUCAUCAAAUUAGUCACUUGGAAAAAGAUGUUUAACAUGUAAAUUAGUUUUUGAUCCUUGUAUGGUAGGGCUGUGAAUCCAUCUCUACUCAUUAUUGACUGGUAUUAAGUUUUAUAAUAAUUAGUUUAGAAAAUUGAUAUUUUCACAUCAUUUUUUUAUAUUUCCACACGUAAGGCUUACAUAUAAGUAGUUGAUGUGUCGAAUUUUUAUUGAUUAUUAUAUGGGUUAUACGUAUAAAAAUAUCAAAGAAUGAUGUGGAAAUAUAAGUCUACUUAGUUUAAGCUUCGCUUAUGGCAACUCAUUUACACUCUUUGGUGCAAUUGAUGCAAUAAUACAAACACAUUUGAAGCAUUGCAACAUUUUGCCCUGAGAGACGGGACAUUAAGAUCUUUGGGCCUCCUAGUCUAUUAUUGAUGCUAAAAAAAGGUUGACUUGACUAGUACUGUAAUAAUAAUAUUAAUAAUAAUAUUGCAGCAAAUGUUACCUUGUUAUGGACACCACUGAUUAUGCUCUUAACUUCCUCCACCAAACUCACACACAAAAUAACAUAAAAUAAAAUUUAGGAUGUGUUUGGUUAUACGCAACCAAACACACGAACUUAGAUAUUUGUAUAUUUACUUAUUUGUAACUUAUAAGACACCGUACUACUCUCCAAAAUAUAAGAUUAUUAUUGAUUUCUUAAGUCAACUUAAAACAUUUUCAAACUAAAAAUUAACAUAAAUUUCUUUAAUUUUAGCCAAUACAAUGAAUGUCAGUUUUGAAUUUAAAAAAUGUUUCAAAUUAACUUUAAAAAAAUAAUAAUGAUUUUAUAAUUGGUAAGUAUAUAAAACUGAAAAACAUGAUUUGAAUGGGGUAUAAAAAUAAGAAAAAGUGUCAUCCAGGCUCAACAAAUCAAGAAAUUUUUAAUUCUCCUCCUCGAGCGCGUAUAUAUAUAUAUAUGGGAAUGAUCCGUAACAUCUAUUUGCUAUGGAUCAAAAAGUGACAUAUAACAUCUACACCUUCCAUUUCAUAAAUGAAGGGCCCAGAUUGAGAAGGCGCUUACGCCGUCCGCAAAUAUUACUAGCGGACGUGGUUAUAUAAUUUUUUUGGCCGAAUUGACCCCCAUUGAGCCUAAGCAGUAAUCAAAUCUUAUUCAUAUCCGCUAGUUCUACUAGCGGACGAGUUGCAAUGAAGUAAAUCCAAGCGUAUGAAUCAAAAGUCUCCUGCGGCAGAAAAAAGUCUCCUGUAGCAAACUAGCCUAUAAAUCAAAAGUCUCCUGUAGGCUGUAGCAAACUACACAAAUUGGUGGAUUCAGAAAAAAGUCUCCUGUAGCAGAAGUCUCCUGUAGUAUAAAUCAAAAGUCUCCUGUAGCAAACUGGAUUCACAAAAGUUCUCCUGUAAUAAACUGACUUAUAUAAAUCUAAGUCACACAAGGACACCAGUAAAUUCAAGUCAGUGAAGGACACAAAUCCUGUAAAUCCAAUUCACAACGAAUUAUAAAAAUCUUACCAAUACAAAUUUUGCGUUUAAGGACGAACUCCUCCAAGUGCUGUAUAUAGAGAGAGUUUUCCAACAGGAAUUCCCAUCCCCUGCAAACACUUCACAGUAGAUAAUCUUAGUUUAAAGUGAAGAGAAAGCAUAUGUGGCCGCUGACAGCCACAUUGGGGAUAACCAAUGAAGCUUUUGGUGUUUUAGCAAAUAAUGUUAAUAAAUGUACACCAAAAAAUAUAUCUCAGUGAUGCAUACCAUGCCGAUAGUGGUGAAACUAACUGAUUUAUCCAGCAGGCAUAUUUACCUGACAGCCAAGAUCACCAAGUCCUAAUAUACGCUCACCAUCAGUUGCAACAAUAACUUGAAUAGUCUAGAAGAAUCCUCCCCCUAAAAAAAUCCAUUAGUCAGAACUGAAACAGUGGAUGGUCUGUUGGAAACAAUUGUGGGUGUUUUGGGAGGAGGCCAAUUGGGUCGUAGGUUGUGUCCCAGAAAUGAAUACAAAUUUGUUAUCUAAAGCAUUUCAUUUGCUUGCCGUCCUUUAGAUGUCCAUGAAAAGGGAAUUGGAAUAUCUUCAUAGUUGAUGCUUCUACUUAAACAGGGUGCCUACUGCAUCCUUUGUCAAGAAAAACCAACUACUUACAAACACAAUAGCUAGCUAGGUGCCUACAACACUGAACUGAACAUUCUUUUUCUUUUACUGCUGACACAACCCAAAAAUAGGAUCCUGAGACAACCAAAAGAAAAGACACAACAAUCGGUAUGACAAAAAUAUUCUGCCAACUACACCAUAUCAAAUUACAAUAUAUCAAAGGUACAGUUGGCAUCCAAUAUUUAUAUCAUUUGGAUGCACAGUUGCUGACCUGUAUCUUGGAUAAGUUCAAAAAGGGAAAAUAGGUUACCAUCAAUCUGUAUAUCUUUUCGCAUCAUCUUGUAACCUCAUGUCAUCAUUGGCUCCGAGUUUGAGGCAUAAAUAUUUAAAAACUAAGAAAGUAAAUAAUUAGACGAGCAACAUGACAAAUACUGGAGGCUCAAAUUCAUUUCGGUCUACUGAGAAGUGACAAGCAGACCUUAAAUCCAAAAAUUCAAUCAUGAGAUCAUAUGUAGUUGGGAGAGUUGUGUAUAAAUGAUUAUUUCCAUUCAGUCACGUUCCAAGUUUCACAUGCAAUGCUUUUACUAGAAUCUCAUUUGUCAGAAUGAAAUAUUGACAUUAAUGAUGAUGAUAAGAUAUAGAUAAUCCGACAUGUUCAAAAGAAUUGGCAAAAGAAAACUAUUCAGAGCAACAAAACGAUGGCUAGAAACUACAUCAGAGUUGUACAAAAAGUAUGGCAAGUUAUCAAAUCUCAUCCAAUGUGACGUGGAAAAAUGAAAUACGUUUGAUAUAUACCACAAUCACAGGACCACUCAGUACCACCGAUAAAACCUCAUAUUAUCCUUACUUGAUCUUUGAUUGUGUAGGGGGAUUAAGCAACUUAUUUAUCAAAAGUAAUAGGAAUACUCCGUCCAUAUCAAAAGUAAUAUAAAACCUCGUAUUAUCCAACAUGUUCAAAAGAAUUGACAAUUCAGAGCAACAAAACGACAACUAGAAACUGCAUCAGAAAAAGUAUGGCAGCAUUAGUCUAGGAUGCAGUCCUUAGCAGGCAAAUCUCAAUCCGCAGAGCAAAGAGAAAGAUUAGCAAAAUAUAAAUGCAGUGAUUAGAGGCUAAUACUGAGGCUGACACCAAGUGAUUACCUUUGCCCUAUCCAGAUGGCGGUUUUCGGGAAUGCCGUUGAAGCGUGCUAUGUAUGUGACAACCCUGUGGUGCCAAAACCAAAAAGUUGAGUUGGUAUCACUUAUAUAUUUUCAAACAAAACAAACAAAACACUUUAUUACCUACCUAUCUUGUGAGCAAAUCCAGUCCUGUUUAAAUUCUCAGCGAGUCUGAUAGCAGUUGGGAUUGAUGCAAAAUUACACAUAACAUAAUUAAUGCACAAGAUCAAUUCAGUAACUUAUAAUAAAAUUCCGUUGAUGAAUAUUAUAUUACCCAUCUCUAAAGCACAUAGUUGAAUCUGGGUGUGAUUAUUUAAGUGUCUCUGCAUCAGCACAAGAUAAAAAGAAUUAAUAUGCUACAAAAAAGCCAUAUAAGAAACAUAAUUAAUGCACAAGAUACUUUCGCCUUAUAUAGGCUCUGUGUGAAGUUUUUAUCCUUGCAAACGUUGUACACAGGAAUAAAAACUCGGAUAUUCCUGUGUGAAGUUUUUAUCCUUGCAAACGUUGUACACAGGAAUAAAAACUCGGAUAUUCCUUUGAUACACUGGAACAUGAAAAAGGGGACAGGGGCAGGCACAGGACGAGCAUAUUUGCAAACGUUGUACACAGGAAUAAAAACUCGGAUAUUCCUUUGAUACACAGGAACAUGAAAAAGGGGACAGGGGCAGGCACAGGACGAGCAUAUGAGUAGUAGAUGGGGCCAGGGGCACGAACAGGAAGAGGGACCGGGACAUUCACCCAAUUCCUCCUCAUCAAAAUUUGAAUCAGCAGAUUAAAUAAAGAAAAUGAGCAAUAUGAAAUUGGGAUUUUCAAAUUGAAACACUAAUACUGACCUUAGCCUUAGCCAUGUCUAUGACAUAGACCGACAUAAUAGUACUUGUCAAAACUCCUGUUUCAAAACAUCAAAAUUUGAAUUUUGACUGAUCAAAAUUAUGAAUUUUGACUGAUCAAAUUUUGACGUUUUGAAACAGGAGUUUUGACAAGUACUAUCGUGUCAGUCCAUGUCAUCGACAUGGCUAAGGUCAGUAUUAGUGUUUCAAUUUGAAAAUCCCAAUUUCAUAUUGGUCAUUUUCUUUAUUUAAUUUGCAUAUUCAAAUUUUGAUGAGUAACCGGGUGAAUGUCCCGAUCGCUCUUCCUGUUCCUGUCCCUGGCCCCGUCUACUCCUCAUAUGCUCGUCCUGUGCCUGCCCCUGUCCCCUUUUUCAUGUUCCUGUGUACUAGAGGAAUAUCCGAGUUUUUAUUCCAGUGUACAACGUUUGCAAUAAUAAAAAAUUCACACAGAGCCUAUAUGAGGCGAAUGUAUCUUGUGCAUUAAUUAUGUUUCUUGUAUGAUUUUUUUGUAACAUAUUAAUUCUUUUUAUCUUGUGCUGAUGCAGAGACACUUAAAUAAUCACACCCAGAUCCAACUAUGUGUUUUAGAGAUGGGUAAUAUAAUAAUUAUCAAUGGAAUUUUAUUAUAAGUUACUGAAUUGUAUCUUGUGCAUUAAUUAUGUUAUGUUUUUUGCAGCAAUCCCAACUGCUAUCAGACUCACUGAGAAAGAAAGGGGUUCCUCACUUUUCUUCAUAGCUAAUCCAAGUUUCUGCAUAACCUCAGAGAUGUGUAUCACUCUCGGAACAGCUGCAACAAUUAAACAACCCAAUAUUAACCAGUUACUUGACAAAUUCGAAUUAAGAAUCAAGAAAUAUCACAUACCUCUCCCCAAAGCCCAAAUGUCAACGUCAAAUCCAUUAUCAAAGUGCAUCUGCAUUAGUGCCAGAGAAGAUUACAUAAGAGUUAUAUCACAUGCACAUGCAUGCAUCACAUGGAAUUAAUGAAAGAUGGUGUCUAGAAUGAAGAUAGAGUAUUUAGAGUAUUUUUGACAAGGUGAAAGUGUAAAUUUUAAAUUUAAUCUUAGUUUUGUAUAAUGCUCAUGUAUACUCAAUUAGACUUGACAGAAAAAACCAUGCAAUGAGAAACCACCCGAGAGACUGAUAAACCUAGCUCAUCUAGGGGUGUUCAUACAAUUGACAAUUCAAUCGUGUCACGGAAGCUAUGUUGGUUGGUGUACUUAAAAGACUUGAAGCUUUAAAAAUCACAUGUGAACUAAGUCUCAACACCAACACCUUUGUGAAUAAGGUGUAAUUCACCAAGUCAUGUGAUAGAUGAAUGUCCUAGAGUCAUGGCCCAAUCUGAAGAAUCUGAACAUGUCAAUACAAUGUUUCAAAAACUUAGGAAUGACCCAUUUGCUCCCACUUAUAAUCCAAGUUGGAGAAAUUAUCCUAAUUUUGCAUGGAACCAAGGACCCUACCCAACUAACUCAUCAAAUCUGGUCAAUAAGUCUCUAAAUCAAUAUUUUCAACCUUACCAAAAGUCAAAUCCUAGUCCAUACCAAAAUUUAAAUUAAGCACCUCAAUAUCCACCAGGUGUUUUUCUAAUAAAAGUGAGAAGAGACUUGACACUUUAGAGAAAAGUGUGGAAACUUUAAUAAAAUCUUAGCAAAACACCAAGUCUUAUCUCGUCUAGAGAUCUAAAUGAGUCACUUGGUUAAUCCAAUUAGUGAAAGAGAGAAGGAUAAGUUUUCUAGUCAACCCGAAACCAAUCCAAAAUUUUCAGUUCAUAAUCAAAAACAUAUCAUGCUAAUUCACUUGAAAACAACCAAGUCAAUCAUGUGAAUUCUGUAUCUUUUUAAGGUCUGGAAAUUAUUUUAACAAUCAUGCUAGCAUUGAUAAUGAAGAGAAAAAUUUAAAUGUUGAAUCUAACAAUCCAUCUUCAACUGAAAAGCCCACAAACUAUGUGUCAGUAGGCUCCAUCCACUAAGCAUGUGUCAAACAAUGAUCAAACCACAUCUUCUCAGUUAGAUGAAAAAGUCUUUAAACCAAAAGCCCCAUUCCCUCAAAAACUUAUUUCAAACAAGCAAUCAGCUCAAUUAAACAAAAUUCUAGAAGUGUUCAAACAAGUGAAAAUUAAUAUUCCUCUUCUAGAUGCCAUUCAAAGUUCCCUCAUAUGCUAAAUGGUCUAAAAGAUUUGUGCACACACAAAAGAACCACUCAUGUUCCUAAGAAAGCUUUUCUAACAGCUCAUGUUAGUUCUAUCUUGGCUUGUCAAGUCCCAAUGAAAUAUAAGGACCCCGGUUGUCCUACCUUUUCAUGCAUCAUAGGUGACGCCUUAAUUGAAAAAGUUUUGUUUGAUUUAGGAGCUAGUGUGAACCGUUUACCAUUUUCUGUGUACCAAACCUUGGGCUUGGGAGAGUUGAAAAAAACUAGUGACACACUCCAACUAGUUGACUGUUUCGUUAAAGUGCCAAAGGGAAUAGUUGAAGAUGUACGUGUUCCAUGUUGACUUUGUUGUCCUUGAAACCUAGCCUAUUGUCAAUCCCAAUGAUCAAAUUCCUGUCAUAUUAGGUAGACCAUUUCUAGCAACCUCUAAUGCAUUAAUCAAUUGUAGAAAAGGAUUAAUGAAAUUGACAUUUGGAAACAUUACAAUUGACUUAAAUGUGUUUAAUGUAGGAAACCAACCUAGUGAUUUUUCUGAUCAACCCGUUGAAAUGAACAUGAUUCAUGAGAUGUCUGAAAAUGAACUUACGGGAGAACAUGAAAUUCUUAACUUUUUUUAAAUCAUUUUGGUCAAAAUUGGGAUGAAACUAAAUGCUUGGAAGAGGUCAAUGAGAUGUAGGACUCCACAACCCAAAAUCUUACUCUAGACAGGAACCAGUAGUUGAAUAAGUUUGGCACAUUUUGAGCAUUUUAAAGAGAAUCACACUGACCUUAAAUUUAAACCCUUUUGUGAUCAUUUUAAGUCUACCCUGGGUGCAUCCGAAGCACCUUCCAUAAUCACUAAAUGUGAUUUAACAAAUGAACCAAAGGUUGUGGAUAAUGAGAAUCUUCCAUGUUUAGAUAAUGAGAUCAUAUCUCCCAUUUUAGAUACUGCAUGUGUCAAUCCAAUGGUGUCUAAAAAUCUUGGUAUAACAGUUAUUCAAAAUGAUGAAAAUGUUUUAAUGCCCGAUGGUAACGAAUAUGGAUGGCAAGUUUGGAUAGAUUUUUUGUGAAGUUGAAAUUCUUAAACAAAAAAUAUUAUUUUCCUUUGUCAUUCAUUGACCCUCUUUUAAAAGGAUCAGUCGGGUAUGCUCAUAAUUGUUCUUCUGAUGCAAAUUAUGACUAUUUCCACUUACCCGGACCUUCUGAAAAUCCUACGAAUCCACUCUAAGUUGUCUGUAUACAUCACUCAUUUACCGUCGCAUAAUUUCAAGAUGUAUAAAAUUUUUAGAUAUGUACAUUUGUUUUCCUUCUCACCACAUUUUCUUAUAAAACAAAUGUCUCACCAUACAAGGUACAAUUUUUUCACAUCUUUGUUCUCUUUUUUUCAUUUGCAUACAUCGAGGACAAUGGAUGAUUUAGGUAUGGAGGAGUUUUACAUUUUUAUUAUUAGAUUUUUUUAUGUAUUUAUUUUUCUUCUUUUUAGGAACUUAAUUCUUUUUGGAAAAAAAAACCAACACAAUUGAAAAUUUGAAAAAAUUAAAAAUUUUGUUCGACUUUUAUGGAAUGAAUUGAUUCUACCAAGUAUCUGUGGGGUAAAACUUAAAGUAGGAUCAAAAGAUUUAGAACUAUUGAACAUUUGAUUAGAUACGAAAUCUUAGUUUGAAACACCAUCUAGAAUAAAAUUGAUUUCAUAAGCAUUUUUGCACUUCACGUUUGCACUAAUUCUUAGUUGUGGGGUAUAAACCUAUGAUUCGAGCAAUUUUCAAGAAAAGAAAUUUAAGAAAUUGAAAAAAAAAAGUCAAAAAACAAAAUAACUGCUUCAAUGUCUAUUGAACAAAAUAACUGGGUAUCCAAGCCUCAGGAAGCAUCGAUAUUCACGCUGAAAAGUGUGAUAGAUAUAAGCAGCUUAACUAGUCUAGUUUUGUGGCCUUUGUUACUCGAGUAAGGAAGCCUUUAAGGGUGUCUCUACACCUAGUGCCCUAAAGCCAACUAGUUUGGGAGUCAUUGGUCUAACACUCGCUACAUGGGUUACUCAGGAAAGCCUAAGAAAAAGAGACAUUGCACAAGUCUUAAGAAUAAAAUAAAAAAUAAAUAAAAAUGAAAAAUGAGUUUGCUUCAUUCUCAUGGUAAAAAUCCCUACUGAGAGUUAUAUCACAUACACAUGCAUGCAUCACAUGGAAUUAAUGAAGGAUGGUGUCUAGAAUGAAGAUAAGAGUAUUUUUUAUAAGGUGAAAGUUUAAUUUUGAAUUUAAUCUUGUGUAUAAUGCCCAUGCAUACUUGGAAGUUUUCUUUUGAUUUCAUAAUUGGUUAAACUCAAAAAUAUUUUAUUUUGAAUUGUGGGAAUAUUCACUACAAACCCUCACAAGACACAACACAUCCAUUUGGGGUAACCUUGAGAUCUAAAGGUUUGUUGCACAUGUUAAGUGCAAUCGUAUUUCCUACAAAAAUGGGAUAAUAUAGUUUUUAUUUUAUUUUUAUUUUACUCGAGUACGAGCAAAAGGUAGGUAUGGGGGUAUUUGAUAGAUUUAAUAUUCUCAUAUUUUUUAUUUUAUAUGUUUAUUUUAUUUAAUUAAUACAUUUUAUUUUGUUUUGUAGGGAGUGAGAUAUUCAACAAUUGAGAGCUUUUGUCUUUCUUCUUAUUCCAAUCAUGUAAGGUACUAAUGUCCGGGAGUAUUUGUAACUUUCUUUUAUUGAUAUAAUAGAAAUUCUCUUGUUAAUUAUUUUUCUUAUUUCAUGCAAUUAAUAGUAUUAUUUUUUGAUUUCAUGGCUAGCUAAAUUUCUAAUAAUGAAACUAGGUAUUACAUAUUAAUAUUUUCUUUUCGUUCCGAAAUUAGUGUAAUUGUUUUCGCCUUCAUAUUUUCCUUCGCACAAAUUGCAUAUGAUUCUUAUAUUGUUUGCGAGGUUUUGAUGAGUUAUAAUUAAUCUGUGAAUUUUUCAUAACUUUAUGUUUGCCCAUAUUAAUUAUAUGAAUCAUUAUUUUUAAAGGGAAGGAAACAAUUUGAUAAUUAAUUUGGAAAAUAAGAAAUUGUUUAUUAUGUUAAUAUUUGGUGGAUUGGGAUUCUUAGGUAUCUGUUCUCAUUAAUAGUUUUUAUUAUUAAUUAUUAGUUUGUAUAAUUUAGUUAAUAAAUCUUCUCCACCAUCUUUGUUUCUAAUUUACCUGAAAUAUUAAUCAAGGAUAUAUUAAAGAAUUGAUUUAGUCUAUGUGGUUCGACCUGCACUUGCCAAAUCUACAAUAGAUACUGUGCACUUGCAGUUAUUAAAUUUUAUCACAUCAUGUAUUAACAUAUAAUUAAUACUUUCUAUCAAGGUUUUCAAACCUAGACCGGUCAUCAAACCGAAAAAGGUACUGGGUGGAUAGGUAACUGGUCCAACCAAUGGUCGAACCGUUAUUGACCAAGUGAUGUCAAUAAUAUGUAAUAAAUAAUAAAUAAUUAAAUAUAUUAAUUAUUAUUAUAUUAUAUAUUAUAUAUAAUAUAAUAUUUAGUAAAUAUGUAAAAUUAAUCAAUUUAUCUACAAAAAAUAAAACUAAAAAUAUUUGCACAAAGUUUACUUAAUACAAUUCAAAUAAAUACUAAAUCUAUAUGAAAAGAAAGAUUAAAUCACGAUCAUAACUCAAAACUCAGUGAUAAAAUCAAACACAAAUGAAUAUAAACAUCUUUCGGAUAUAUUCAAAUUCGAAAAUUUAACCACAAGUUCGAGUGUUUGAUUAAAUAUGAAUGCAAACAUAUCUAAUAUACCAAGUAAAGUCUCAACUAAAAUACUAAAUUACUAAAAUAAAAUCUAUGACACUUAAUUCACAAAAAGCAUAAAUCAUUCCAACUUCGAGAAGGUGAUGAUUGUUGCCAAUUUAAAGGUUAGUUUCAAACUAAGGAAUCAAACUCUUUGAGCAUACAUUAAAAAAGCUCAUACAUACUCCUCAGAAUCUCAAAAAUGACCAACUAAAAGUUACCAUCCCUUAACCCUUACCUAGCAAAGAGUAAAGACCAUCAGAAGAUUAAACUUUACUGAUAAAUGAUCCACAAAAAUGCGAGAAAAUUAAUAACUUAUAAUUACUAGAAAUCAUGAUCUUAGCAAGGCUAUAUAUUCCAAAUUUUCAAUAGAAAACAGAGGUUGUUCUCAACAAAAAAAGAGUCCCCAAAUCCAAUCGAGCCUGAGGUACUUCUGAAUGCCUUCAAUUCGCUUGAGAAGCCGUCUCUUCUUCGUAAGUUUUCCCCAAACAAGUCUCCUUAAGGAGGCCAGGGUACUCUGCAUAGAUUGAUCAUGUUGUUCCCAGACCCGCCUGACUAAAUUGCCGAAGUCUUCAUGAGAGAACCAGGCAGCUUCCAUUCUAAAAGGUCUUCGAUUGGCAGGUAAUGCUUGAAUAAAGGUUGUUCCACCCAACCCUCAUCUAGUUUUUUUGAAAGGAGCAAAGGCUUUCUUCAACAUUUGUACUGCAUAGAUUGAUCAUGAUGGUGUUUUUCUUGUUUUUAUGAUCAUGACUUCAUUGAACACAUCAGUCAUUCUAUAGUUCGUUCAACUUUUUGGGUGGAAAACAAACUGGGCAUUCUAGGUAACAAGUGAAGAGAGUUUUGCUCAUCAGUCCAUGGUUCAAAAUAUUAGCCUUUGAAAUUUCUAAAAAAAAAACUAAAAAAUUACACCCAUCCUCACAAGGAAACCUAGAAAACAUACGAAAUAUUCAAAAAACUUACAACUUACUGAUUAAAUAAAAAACUUACCGAACUUGGAUCCGAUGAUCUGCCUAAAAAAUGCUUCAAUUACCAAACCUGUUCGCCCAAUUCGAUUUCACUAAUUGCGACCAGCCCCAAUAAGAUUCAAAGAACUAGGGUUUAUGAAAUCGCACCAUGGUUUUUUCCCCAAUUCGAUUUCGGACAAUUUCACAGAAGGCGAUUUCACAAAUUGCAAACAACCCCAACUCGCAACUAGAUUUAACAGCACGCGGGCCCAAGAAAUCGCAUGAAGGUGGAAGAAAUCGCAUGAAAUCGCAGCACAAAUUGCGAACAACCCCAACUCGCAACUCGAUUUCACUGCACGCGGGUUGAAGAAAUCGAAUGAAGGUUGAAGAAAUCGCAUGAAAUCGCAGCAAACAUUGCGAACAACUCCAACUUGCACUCGAUUUCAUUGCACGCGGGUUAAAGAAUUCGAAUGAAGGUUGAAGAAAUCGCAUGAAAAAUGGGCACUAGGGUUUUUAAAGAAAGAGAUGGGAUUUUGGUGAAAUCGACUUAUUAAAAACAUUUUAUAAGUUAUUUUUAAAUAAAUUUUAAAUUAUUAUUUAUUUAUUUUGAUUUAUAAGUUAAAAAAUAAGUUAUUAUUUAACAGUUUAAUAGUGAUAAAUGACUUGUAAAUUAAUUUGUCUAACUUAUAAGUCAUUACAGAACAUGGCCUACAACUUACAAGGAAGUCAGUGACGAAGGAACCAAAAGAGUGUGGAUGUAAGACGGGGAAGGAGAAACGAUUUUUAGGGCAACGGCGCAACGCUAAUUUUAUCACUCUUUAUUCGGGACGGGUGAUCAAUUAGAAUUAUGGUUUCGAGUCGGGUGAUUACUCAUCGUCUUCUCCUAAUCGCAUUUUGAAUCGGGUGAUGGGAAUUUUGGUCAAUUAAAAGAGUAGGUUUAAUUUGGCUAUGUUUCUUUGUAAUGUUAACAAAUUUUCACCAACUUUAGUUAAAUACUAGCAAUUGAACUCGUGCAAAUGUGUCUGUUGUUUUAAUAUUAGUAAAUAAAUUUAGAUAAAAUUAUGAUUUUAAAAAUGUGUAAUAUAAAUAAAAACAUACAAUUAUUUACGUGUUGUUCUUGCUUGUUUUCGUUUUAUAUUAGACUAUAAAAUUUUGUCAGAUAGAAUGAUAAUUUGUAUUCUUUAAUACAUCAUAGUUUUGUCAAAUAGAAUAAUAAUGUACAUUAUUUGAUGAGUGUAUGAAUUGGGAGAGUUUAAUUGUGUUUAUAAGAUACUGUUGUCCCCAAGAACGGAUCCAUAAAUUUUUCUCAGCAAAGGCGAAUUUUAACUAAUUUUAAGUGAUAGAGGAAGAACUUGGUCUAUAGGGGUGGAUCCAAAAAAAAUUCUCAACAGGGGGGAUUUUAGUUACUUUAUUUGUUGAAAUUAAAUAAAAAAACUUGAACUAAUCAUUAUAUUAAGGCUUAAAUAUGAAUUAUUACCCUAAACUAUAGGCCAUAUUCCACUUCGGGGAUCAAAGUUUUAAUUUUUUCAAUCAGGUGAUUGAACUAACAAUUUUUUUUAAUUUGUUCAAUUGAGGUUGCCACGUCUGAAAUUCCUGACGUGGCUAUUUCGAUGGGCCAUUGUUCAGCUGAUGUGUAACUAAAAAAAUAUAUUUUAAUGUUUAAUUACACAAUUAUUAUAUAUGAAAGGGUAAAAUUGUCAAACCAACUUAUAUUAUACAUUAAUACUAAUAAAAAACAACAAAAUCUAAAAUCAUUAGCCAAAUAUUGAAGAUCUCCUCCGUAGCCACCAUGGUUAUUAAAAAUUCAUAAAAUUAUUUCUCUCAUAAAAUCACAUCUCUCAUCCAUCUCAUAUCUAUACCAUGUCAGAUCAAAAAAUCAUAAAAUCAUUUCUCUCAUCCAUGGUUAUUAACAGAUUAUUUCUCUAUUCUAUCUCAUCUUUCAUCCAUGGUUAUUUCUUCGAUUUGACCAUGGUUUUGUUCAUCGUUUGAGAUUUGGUGGUGAUGGUUGGGUGCGGUGAUGAGUGGAUGGGUAGAGGUCGUCGGCGGUGCAUGCUCGUGACAGUGGUGGAUCUAAUAAUAUGGUGGUAGAUCUAGUAUGAUGGUUUAUCAUGGUGGUGUAAUAUGAUAUUGGUGAUGGUUGUGGUGGUAAGAGUAGUAGAUCUACUAGUGUUAGGUUUGCGGUGGCUGUGACAUUUUUUUUUCUCAAAAUCUCUCUUUGGUGGUGACGAUGGGCGACGGAUGGUGGUGAAAAUGGCGGAUGGUGGUGUAUGAUGAUGUAUGGUAAUAAAAGUAGAUGGUGGUGUUGGUGGCGGAUCUAUUAAUAUGGUGGUAGAUCUAGUAUGGUGGAGGUGGUGGCUACGGAAGUAGUGGUGGCGGCGGUGAUGGAUUAUGCAGCGGUGUAGGCGGCGAUGGACUGUGAAGAUGGAUAUGGUGAAGGUGGUGGCUACGGAGGAGGAGGUCGUCCGUCGUCGGGAAGAUGGUGGCGGUGGUUAUGGUUGUGGCCGAAGGGAAGGCUGAGGCGGUUAUGGCGGUGGUGGUAAUGGUGAUCCUGAUGGUUUUUACUUUUGAUGUUUUUGAUUAUUAUUAUUAAUGUUUGAUAGAAAACUGUUUGACAAUGUUGCCCUUUCAUAUAUAAUAAUUGUGUAAUUAAACAUUAAAAUAUAUUUUUUUUAGUUACACAUCAGCUAAACAAUGGCCCAUCGAAAUAGCCACGUCAGCGAUUUCUGACGUGGUAGCCUCAAUUGAACAAAUUGAAAAAAAAUUGAUAGUUCAAUCACCUGAUUGAAAAAAUUGAAACUUUGAUCCCCGAAGUGGAAUAUGGCCUAUAGUUUAGGAUAGUAAUUCAUAUUUAAGCCUUAUAUUAACUAAUCAUAAUAAUGUUUACAAAAUGUAAAGUGGUGGUGGAGAAUGGAAAUGUAGAAGAAGUGGCGGAGAAUGGAAAUGUAGAAGUAGUGGCGGAGAAUGAAAAUGUAGAAGUAGUGGCGGAGAAUGAAAAUGUAGAAGUAGCUAGUGGCUAAGCCACUGAGGCAGAGAUAUAAAAGACAAAAGUAGAAUGAAUCUACAUUAAUCUGUACUUGUAUUUAGUAUAUGAAUGAAUUUUUUUGCCCUCUCCAAGUUUAAUUCUUCCAUUAAUUUGCCCCCUUGAAUUUAUUCACUUAUAUAAUUGCCCUUACCCCUAUACCUAUAAAAAAAAUCAAGCAGAGGCAGCCGCCUAUGCUACCCCUUAAACAAAUCCGCCCUUGGUUGUCCCCUCGAUUCUAACUAAUUAAUUAAUCAUUUCUUUCUUAAACUAUUAUCACAUAAUAUCCAAAAAAAGAAUAGAUUUUACAUCUCUUAGAAGAACAGAUUAAUGAAUGGACUUAUCUACCAACUGAUCAACUCACCGAAUUUAAAAUAUUAAUUUGUGAAUGAAUGAAUUCAUGUAUCAUGCCGAAUCAACUCACUAGGUUUUCAAAUUAAAAGUUAAUUAAAUAUAUAUUGUGAUUUCAAAUAUUGGGAUUAAUUGAAUUGUUUUGCAUGUUAUAGUUUAGGGGAUUACAUAUUUAGGUAUAUUUUUUAGUUAUUUAUUUUAAAUACAAACCUUAAAUAUAAUAUUGAAUUAUCUAAUUUUGAUGNNNNNNNNNNNNNNNNNNNNNNNNNNNNNNNNNNNNNNNNNNNNNNNNNNNNNNNNNNNNNNNNNNNNNNNNNNNNNNNNNNNNNNNNNNNNNNNNNNNNAUGUAUCCAAAUGACAUCCAAAUCACUUUAUUCUGUAAAAAUUUCAGUUCCAAUAAAUCACAUAAAUUAUUUGAGAGACAUUAUAAAAAAAAAUAAAAAAUAAUAAUAAUUUUGGCCGGUCGCUGCCCCGGUCGCCCAAUCCCGGCCCGCGUAGAAGGACUCAUGUAGAAGUAGUGGCGGAGAAUGAAAAUGUAGAAGUAGUGGCGGAGAAUGAAAAUGUAGAAGUAUCUAGUGGCUAAGCCACUGAGGCAGAGAUAUAGAAGACAAAAGUAGAAUGAAUCUACAUUCGUCUGUACUUGUAUUUAGUAUAUGAAUGAAUUUUUUUGCCCUCUCCAAGUUUAAUUCUUCCAUUAAUUUGCCCCCUUGAAUUUAUUCACUUAUAUAAUUGCCCUUACCCCUAUACCUAUAAAAAAAAUCAAGCAGAGGCAGCCGCCUAUGCUACCCCUUAAACAAAUCCGCCCUUGGUUGUCCCCUCGAUUCUAACUAAUUAAUUAAUCAUUUCUUUCUUAAACUAUUAUCACAUAAUAUCCAAAAAAAGAAUAGAUUUUACAUCUCUUAGAAGAACAGAUUAAUGAAUGGACUUAUCUACCAACUGAUCAACUCACCGAAUUUAAAAUAUUAAUUUGUGAAUGAAUGAAUUCAUGUAUCAUGCCGAAUCAACUCACUAGGUUUUCAAAUUAAAAGUUAAUUAAAUAUAUAUUGUGAUUUCAAAUAUUGGGAUUAAUUGAAUUGUUUUGCAUGUUAUAGUUUAGGGGAUUACAUAUUUAGGUAUAUUUUUUAGUUAUUUAUUUUAAAUACAAACCUUAAAUAUAAUAUUGAAUUAUCUAAUUUUGAUGUUUGCAUUUUUGACUUAACAUAUUUAAAGAAAGUUAGGUGAAUAUUUGUUUCAAGUUGAGAAAGAACUGUUUUACAAAUAUAUAUAUAUAUAUAUAUAUAUAUAUAUAUAUCAUUAUAAAUCAAAUGAAUCCAAUAUAUUUAUUAACUAGUUAAACAUAUAUUAAAAAAUUAAAUGUCGUAGUUAAAUUUCUUAGGGGAUUUUAAACAAUAUAUUAUAAGAUUAAUUAUUUUUGUUUAGCAGAUGAGACUCAUAACUCUACUUCUCAAGUCUCAAUAUUGUCGGUAGGUGUCUUACGUACUCCAACUUUUCUUUUUUAAUUUGCAUUCUAGAAAAAAAAAUACAAAGAUUUAUAUUUAGUCUUUAUAGAAAAGGUUAUGGAUAUUCUAAAAGUAAAAAUGAUGGACAAAGACCCCCUUCUUUACACAUUUCAUCUACUUUUUUUCAUUGUACAUUCUACAACAAAAAUAUCAAAGUGUGAAGAAUACAAGCAGUGAAUCUCUCUGAGAAAGUUACACUAGCAUAUAUAUGGCUGGACUAAAAAAUAAUGGGCUCAAAUAACGUAAUAGGUCCAUGUAGAGCUUCAUCCCCGACCCCCCUUAAAGGAUUAGUGGUGGGCUAUGGACUUUGGCCUAUCGGCUUCAGUCGUCCGCUACCACCACUAAACCUUUCCUUCGGGUCGCUGCACAAAAUAACUCAGGUUGGUUCAAAAUUCUGAUCCCGAACAAGAAUUCGAGACGCACAAAACACUUUGUUUCUUUCCCCUAAGACUUUAUUUUGCUAGUGUGGAAUGAUUUUUUCAGAAUAAGAACUGGAUUUCGAGGCUACCAUUAUGUCAUCUAUAUAUAAUAGCAGAAAAUGUUACUACGUUGUUCUUGAAGUUGAAGUGGUUGUUUAUAUUUUUAGUUUAUGUGUUGGUAGUGGUUACGCUAACUUGCAUUCCUUUCUUAAAUUUCCAUAAUAUUUUAGAACAGUUGACAUUAUUAUUUUAUCUUGCAUAUUGAGACGUAUCAGCCUAUAAGUAGGUGUGGAACUUUUUAUAAUGUUGAAUACUUUCUUUAAUUUUAUUCUUUUAGAUUCCUAGCUAGUUAUAAGAAGGAAUUGAGUUUGUGGCAGAAACUCAGAUUUAUAUCAGGACCAUACUAGCUCAAGCUUUUGCUUCCUAUGGUGCUGCAGAGUUUCCUUAUGAUUUCACUGACACCUGAAAGUAUUUCUUAUGUCCCAGUUACGUUAUCACUUGAAUUGUAACUUAGAAUUUCAUGUCCAGAUUUUGACAGAUGCAGCUUUGUUAAAGCGUCAAAAAAGAGAGAUUGAGGAGCUUCGGGCUAAAUUGCAGGUUGAGUAUAUGUUAUCAUGAUUUAAUCAAGUUUGUGACUUUUGUUGUGGACUAGCUUUUAAAAUUAUCUUCUUUGUGGUUAAGGGAUCUCACUCAGAACACUUGGAAGAGGAGAUUCUUAAUCUGCGGAACACAUUAUUACAGGUUUACCUGAUCUUCAUUUUCUAUUUUUUCAUAUAAAGAUCAAUAUGUGCAAAUUAAUUAUACAUGUUCCAAUUUAGACUGAACUGGAGAGGGAGCGAAUAGCUUUGGAGCUGGAGGAGGAAAAGAAAGCACAAGCUGAAAGGGAGAAGAGGUUGUAAGAGCAAGCCAAGAAAAUUGAAGAAGACUGAACAUGAAGAGGAAAAAAAAUCAACAAAAUUAACCCAUUCACAAAUUAGGAACACAAUAACAAGCCACAUUUUCAAAAUUCAUAAAGAUCAAUUGAAACUAUAACAGAAACAUAACACAAAAUGACAAAAUAGGUCCAAUUACACAUCUAAACAGCUAAAUCCAUAACCCCAUAACAACUAAAAUAAAUCAUACAUGUGAAAGCUUCUCAUUAAUUUGGGUAGUAGAUGGAAGAUUUUAAAUUACCUGCUUGUUGCUUGUGCAGUUGUGUUAACAAAAGAGAAGUCGUGAGAGACGGUCCGAUGGAAGUCAAAGAUUGGAAAUUUGGAAUCGAUGAGAGAUGAGACUUGAGAGGCAGAAGGGCGGGGCCGCGAGGGAUAGGAGGCGGAGACGGAGUCGGGGAGAGGGCGAGGGCGGAGGCGGAGGCGGAGGCGGAGGCUUUUGUUAGGGCAGAGAGCCAGAGACUGAAUAGAAAUGGGAUAAAUCAACUUUUGGUACCUGUAUUGGAACUCGACUUAUAAUUUGGUACCUAAAGUGAAAAAAAGUUAUAAACUGGUGGUGAUUGUAUUCGAAAAAUGUUACAUUCCGUUAAAUAAUAGGAUUUCAUCUUUAUUCUGUUUAAAAAUUUGACAGGUCAGAUGCAAAGGAUGACACGGCGAUGAUGGGUAACAAAGUUGUAUAGGAGGGUUUGGAGAAUGAGUAGCUGAUGAUGAGAGAGAGUAGGGUAAUGGUUUUUCUUGUGCCGGUGGGCAUUUCGAGGAGAGAGUGGCCUUUGGCAUCUAGGGCACGCUUCAGUUCCACCAUGUAUGAAUAUUGUUCUGGGUGUGAUCGUAUGGGAAGUACCCAGUAACAUCUUCGAUUUGAAACUUCAUCUCUCCCUCUGCAAUAUUUUCUCUAAUCUAUAUCUAUAUCUAUAUGUUUCUGUAAAGAAAGAUUAAAGUUCAAUUUUCAGCAGGAUGAGGAAGACGAUGGACGAACAGUCUAGGACGGUGAUCAGUUACGGUGGCUUCGUUUCUUUUUAUAUUGGAAUUGGAAUCUAAAUAUUAUGCGUAAUUGGGUAAAGGAAAAAUAUAGGCAGCAGCGAGAGCGAGAGCCUUUGAUUCGAAUUUAUGGGCAUCAAGGUUCGAAUUUAUGGGCGAAUAUAUGGAGCAUUUGAUUCCAGUGGUUUGUUUUAAUAGAUGGCUUGUUUAUGUGUAUUUCAAUUUGUCAAUUAUGCUUUACUGUUAAUUUUUAAUUUUCAGAUUUGGAUGUUUUUGAUCUAUUAUUAAUUCCUACGUUCAUGUCUUUGUUCAUGGGUGUUUUUGAUCUGUUUGUCUGAUUGGUAUGUGUUCCAUUUCAACUUGUUAGGGGCGUGAUGUUUAUUUUGGGUUGCAGCUGAUUUGGAGGUUCUAUCAUUCUUACUUUCUUUAUUGUUGUUGUAUGAUUGAUUUGGCUUUAGUUGAGGUUGUGUCUUGGUGAUCUCCGACCUAUUUCCGGCUGGCUGAUUUUGGCAGUUUGCCAAAAAAUGUUGGUAGGUGCAACAGAGGCGGUCUAGUCAUCUUUGGUGCUGCACAUGGGUUCCACUUGGGCAAUAACUAGUUUAUCAUUAUCCACGUCAGAUGAGUAAGCUACGUUAGAAUUUUCCAUCUACUCCGUUAGUCAAUUUUAACGAUUAUUUUAAAAUUAGAAAGUACAAGCACUAGAUUGCAACAUUUUUCGAGUACAAUCACCUAUUUGUAACUUUUUUCACUUUGAGUACCA